rnacentral:lncRNA from 1 species
AGGGGAUUAAUCGAUGCUGCAGUUUAUUUCAGUGGGGGAAAUGAGAAGAGAAAUAAAAGACCCAUGUAAACAUAGUUGACCUCCUGAUACGCAGGAAGGCGUGGUGAAAAACUCUACUGAGAUUCGUGGUCUUCAAAAUGUGGCACGAGCUAGUAAAAAAGUUUCGAGUAAUGUGUGUGUACUGAUGUGAAGUGAAGCAACAUACUAUCACGGCUUGCUGCUGUCUUGCCCUAUGGGUAAAAAAUCUAUCCCGGCUUGCUGGUUCGGCUAUGACGGUGUCAGGCCCAGCCUUGAUCAUCCCCUGUUCCAGUGUGCCAGAAGUGCUUCAGUUCGUUGAUCGUCCAUCUAACGGCUCACCUGCCUGCGUACCGGUUCGUUAGCUGAAACGAUCUCCAGGCGUUCAUUGUUGAUCUAACGGCUGCGAUGGAUCGCUGUAGCUUUUCCGACAAGCCAUGUGCUCUGUUCACUUUCUGUUCUUCUUUUUCAGUCGUGUAAUGGCUAUAAAGCCACCCAUUCCCCUAAUUCUGAACCAUGUUGAAUUGUAUCGGGUGUAAACCCUAGCCGCCGGUGGCGUGCUGAACCUACUUUCCUCAUUUCUCAAGCAAGAACCCUAGUUUUGCGUCUCUGAAUUGCCCACGAUUCCUCGAAGUGUCACUUAAUUUCAGUAAUUCAGAGCUCUGAGCCUGACAAUUGGUAUCAGAGGCCAGUCUUUCCUCGGCGGCGGUAGAUGAUUGGGGCAGCGUAGAGGUUUGCUUUAGCUGCGGCGGCCGAAGUGGCAGCGUUCGGGUGCAGUCAGAGGACAACCUGGUUGCCUGAGAGUAUUUCUCGGGUGGUAAAAUUCCAGCUCCUGGAUCAGGCCGUGUACCAUCGGAGGCGGGCGCACGCGGCGGUGUUGGCGGCGGUGACAAGUUCAUCCCACCCUCCCAAUCCUCUAUGGUGGUGAUCUCUGACGGCCUUAACAUGACGGGCCGUGCUGAUUCGGGCUCCACAACGGAGUUGCAGUUCGAGUCUCUCGAGUUGGACAUCAAGGCGUUGCAGCACGAUCGGGACGAAGAUCGCAAGGAUUUCCAUCAGUUUCAAGCAACAGUUAACAGAAAUUUCGCAACGAUGCAGAAGAACUUCGACAAGAUCCAAGAAAACUUCAGGCGUCUGCUGUUGGAUCCGGAACCGGCGCAAGAGGAUGGUGUAGAAGGGCAGGGCAGUGUUCAGAUGAAGGCUGACCAGAUGAAUUCGCCGAAAGUGGCUCCUGGUAGACCCAAACAACUACCAGUUCCUACUCCUCCUUCUGUAGCUAUGCCUGAAAAAGGGACUGCUUUGCCGAUUGGUACUGCAACACUUAGGGAUCAUGCGGGCAAAGAGCUGCAUCUGGAUGGUACACCUAAGGCGCCGUAUAGGCACCCCAACUAUGGUCAGGCAAAAGACACAGCGCCAAACAAUGUUGUGCAACUAGAAGAGAUACAUGAAGAUGAGAUUGCUGAUCACACGUAUAGAAGAGGACAGAACUUUCGGGAUGGAAGAAGAAACACCCUCACUGUCAAGCCAGCAAAAUUGAACAUUUUUGAGUUUGAGGGACAAGACCCUGAAUCCUGGAUUCAGAACCUCGAGCAGUAUUUUGCUGCGGCUCGAACACCAAUUGAGCAUAGGACAGAAGUGUCCAUUUCAUACCUCAAGGGCCCUGAAAUUCAGUGGUGGAGGGGAACUGGAUAUGCCUCUAGUAAUGUUCCAUGGCAUAAGUUCUGUUCAUGUCUGUCUGACAGGUUCUCUCUGGAUUCAGCUUGUGACAUUGUAAGCUCCUUCCAUGCAGUUCAGCAGACAACUACAGUCACUGCUUAUGUGGAACAAUUUGAACAGCUAAUGAAUGUUAUGAGAAGGGAAAAUCCUGCAAUUCCAGAUGAUUAUUAUGUUUCUAGUUUUGUGUCAGGGUUGAGCACUUAUAUUAAGAGCCAUGUGGAAUGUUUCAAGCCAAAGGACAUGCAAACUGCAGUAUGGUAUGCUAGGAGAAUGGAAAAGUCCCAGUCCCCAAAUCUGGUUGUGAAAACCAAACCUUAUGUCCCUCAACCAAGAAGACAGGUCUUGUUUGAGCAACCAAAGCAAGCACCCACAAGUACAGUUCUUAAUAGAAAUACUGUGAUUCAACAGGCUAAACAAAAUCAGGUUUGCUACAAGUGUAGAGAACCAUGGGUGCAUGGUCAUAGACAAGUCUGUAAGAAGAGUCAGAGAGCACAAAUUCAGGCAUUGCAGGCUCAGGGCAGUGACAAUGCUGAAACAAUUUAUGUGACAGAUUUUGAUGAUCCUAACUUGGAAAAUUCUGAGCCCCUUCCUGAGGAAACAGUGUUGCAGGUGUCAAUGCAUGCUGCCAUGGGUAUUGGAGCUGCUAAGAACACUUUUAUUUUGACAGUGAAAGUGGGCAACACCACUGCUACUGCUUUAGUAGACAGUGGUAGCACCUCUACAUUUGUUUCUCCUGAGAUGGCUGCUAAGCUGCCUGUUGCAGCUACUCCUAAUCCCAAGAUAAAAGUGGUUGUUGCAAGUGGGGGACUGCUUUGGAGUGAAUUUACAGUAAAGGACUGUCCCUAUGAAAUUCAGGGCCACAAGUUUUCUGAUGCUUUCAGGGUGUUAAAAUUAAAAGGAUAUGAUAUGAUCUUAGGAGUGGAUUGGUUAAGAAGGUACAACCCCAUUCAAAUGGAUUUCAUAAAAAUGGAAAUGAGGAUUUCUGCAAAGAGUGGCCAGUUUAUAUCUUUUGUGGAUGAAACUAUACCACUUGCUGAUAUAACUGAAGCUACUGAACAUCCAGAUAAGUUGAUGGAGCAAGCUGUCUGUGGUUUUUUUUCCUGUUUACCUCUUCUGGGUGUGAGGUGGUGGCUGCAGCCCAGGAAAUUCCUUCAGAACUGUUGCCCUUAUUGGAGGACUAUGAAAAAGUUUUUCAGGAACCUCAGGGACUGCCACCUAGCAGACCAUGUGAUCACAGAAUUCCACUUAUUGAUGGAGCUAAAGUGGUUAAUCAGAGGCCCUAUAGAGUUCCUCAUCAUCAGAAGGAAAUCUUGGAGAAAAUCAUAUUGGAACUGCUGAAGAAGGGCAUAAUAAGGCCUAGCACCAGCCCCUUUUCUUCUCCUGUAUUGUUGGUCAAGAAAAAAGAUGGGUCCUGGAGACUUUGCACAGAUUACAGAAAACUGAAUGCAAUCACUGUGAAAAACAAAUACCCAAUACCAGUAAUUGAGGAUUUGUUAGAUCAACUAAGAGGAGCCAAAUAUUUUUCUAAAAUUGAUCUGAGAAAUGGGUAUCACCAGAUCAGAAUGGCUGAGGAGGAUAUUCAUAAAACAACAUUUUCUACUCAUAUGGGCUUGUUUGAGUAUUUAGUAAUGUCCUUUGGAUUAACUAAUGGACCUCCUUCUUUCCAAGCAUUGAUGAAUUUGUUGUUUGGUCUCUUGAAAUUUGUAGUGGUGUUCUUUGAUGAUAUAUUGGUGUUCAGUUUCUCAUUGGAAGAGCACAAAGUUCAUCUGGCACAAGUAUUUGAUAUUCUGCAAGCUAACAAGCUGUAUGCUAGAAUGGAGAAAUGUUCUUUUGGGCAACAGGAAGUUGAAUAUUUGGGCCACAUAAUCAACUCAGAAGGAGUGUCUACUGACCCUUCAAAAAUCAAAGCUAUACAGGAGUGGCCAACUCCCACUACUGUCACUGAACUGAGAAGUUUCUUGGGUUUAAGUGGCUACUAUAGGAGGUUUAUCCAGGGGUAUGGCAUAAUUUGUAGACCUCUCUUUGAUUGCUUAAAGAAGGAUGCUUUCUCUUGGAAAGAUGAGCAAACAGAGGCCUUCCUAGCUCUGAAACAGAAACUGACUAAUACCCCUGUCCUGGCACUACCUGAUUUUACUAAGCCCUUCAUACUGGAAGCUGAUGCUUGUGGCUAUGGUCUAGGAGCUGUGCUGAUGCAGGAAGGGAGGCCCAUUUCUUAUUUCAGCAAGAGUAUUGGUCCUAAGGCUGCUGCUAUGUCAACUUAUGAUAAAGAGGCCCUUGCCAUAAUUGAAGCAGUAAAGAAAUGGAGGCACUACUUCUUGGCAACUGCCCUGGUAAUCAGAACUGACCAAGAAAGUCUGAAAUACAUUCAGGGGCAGAAAAUAACUGAAGGGAUUCAGCACAAAUUACUGUUGAAGUUGUUAGGAUACAAUUUCACUGUUGAGUAUAAAAAAGGGAAGGAGAACAGAGUUGCUGAUGCACUAUUAAGGGUGAAAGAACUGAUUGGGUAAAAGAAAUGGUAAAGAGCUACAGUCAGGAUAACAAAGUGAAAGAACUGAUUGCUGAAUGUAUUGUAGCUGCUCCUAGCACUACUGCUUACUCAUACAAAAAUGGAAUCCUGAGAUUUCACAACAAAGUGGUAGUGGGUACAGCUACAACUCUGAGGCAAGAUAUUCUCAAAACCUUUCACAAUUCUGAAUUGGGAGGUCAUUCAAGUGAAAGAGCUACAUACCACAGGGUGAAAUUAGUAUUUCAUUGGCAGGGAAUGAAACAGGAUGUUAUUGCUUUUGUCAAGGCUUGCCCUGUCUGCCAGUUGAACAAAGCAAAGCACUCACCUUACCAUGGCCUCCUAGAACCUUUGCAUGUACCAGAAUUUGCUUGGGCCCAUAUAAGCAUGGAUUUUGUAGAAGGAUUGCCAACUUCUGAGCACAAGAAUUUGAUUCUGGUGGUGGUUGAUAGGUUUACAAAAUAUUCUCAUUUCAUAGCUAUGCAACACCCUAUAAUAGUGCAAACAGUGGCUAGAGCUUUCUCUGAUAAUAUCUUCAAAUUGCAUGGCAUGCCCUUGGUGAUAGUAACUGACAGGGACAAAAUCUUUACUAGUCACUUGUGGCAGCAGCUAUUCAAGUCACUGAAGAUCAAGUUGCACAUGAGCACUAGCUAUCAUCCACAAUCUGAUGGCCAGACUGAAAGGGUGAAUCAGUGUCUUGAAAAUUAUUUGAGAUGCAUGUGUUUUCAGCAACCAAGGAAGUGGCAUAGUUGGCUAGCUUUAGCUGAAUGGUGGUACAACACCUCAUUCCACACUGCUUUGCAAAUGACACCAUUUCAAGCUCUGUAUGGUUUUCCACCCCCAAUGGUGGCAGAAUCAACACUGCCAGACACUAUUUGUGAAGAUAGUGACAACUUGCUUCAGAACAGGGAGGUGGCAUUGGAGAUAAUUAAACAAAAUCUCCUCAAAUCACAAGAGAGUAUGAAUUAUUAUGCUGAUAAGAAGAGAAAGGAAAGGGAAUUCUCUGUGGGAGACAUGGUUUAUCUCAAGCUGCAGCCGUACAGACACACUUCACUGAGUUUACACAGGCAUCUUAAGCUCCACUCCAAGUUUUAUGGCCCCUUUAGAGUUUUGGAGAGGAUUGGUAAUCAUGCAUACAAGCUGCUGUUACCAGAAGGCUGUAUGCUGCAUAACACCUUGUGACGCCCCCGAUUUGACCGUACACUAAUCAUGCACGCAAAUGUGUACGACCAAGAUCAGGGACUCACGGGAAGAUAUCACAACACAACUCUAAAACAUAAAUAAGUCAUACAAGCAUCAUAAUACAAGCCAGGGGCCUCGAGGGCUCGAAUACAAGUGCUCGAUCACAGACGAGUCAGCGGAAGCAACAAUAUCUGAGUACAGACAUAAGUUAAACAAGUUUUGCCUUAAGAAGGCUAGCACAAGAGUAGCAACGAUCGAAGAGGCAAGGCCUCCUGCCUGGGACCUCCUAACUACUCCUGGUCGUCGUCAGCGGCCUGCACGUAGUAGUAGGCACCUCCAGUGCCGUAGGUGUCGUCGUCGACGGUGGCGUCUGGCUCCUGAACUCCAACAUCUGGUUGCGACAACCAGAUAGAAAGGAAAGGGGGAAAAGAGGGAGAGAAGCAACCGUGAGUACUCAUCCAAAGUACUCGCAAGCAAGGAGCUACACUACAUAUGCAUGGGUAUAGGUGUAAAGGGGCAUAUCAGUGGACUGAACUGCAGAAUGCCAGAAUUAAAAGGGGGAUAGCUAGUCCUGUCGAAGACUACGCUUCUGGACAUCUCCAUCUUGCAGCAUAAAGAAGAGAGUAGAUUGAAGUCCUCCAAGUAGCAUCGCAUAGCAUAAUCCUACCCGGCAAUCCCCUCCUCGUCGCCCUGUUAGAGAGCGAUCACCGGGUUGUAUCUGGCACUUGGAAGGGUGUAUUUUAUUCAGUAUCCAGUUCUAGUUGUCAUAAGCUCAAGGUACAACUCCGGGUCGUCCUUUUACCGAGGGACACGGCUAUUCGAAUAGAUAAACUUCCCUGCAGGGGUGCACCACCUAACCCAACACGCUCGAUCCCAAUUGGCCGGACACACUUUUCUGGGUCAUGCCCGGCCUCGUAAGAUCAACACGUCGCAGCCCCACCUAGGCUCAACAGAGAGGUCAGCACGCCGGUCUAAACCUAUGCGCGCAGGGGUCUGGGCCCAUCGCCCUAUGCACACCUGCACAUUGCGAACGCGGCCGCGAGCAAACCUAGCAACCCACACGAUCACGGCGGUUACGUCAAAGCGGUCCAACACGGCGCGCGCCACUCAGUCGCUGACGUCAAAAGAGCUUCGGCUGAUACCACGACGUCGGGAUACCCAUAACUACUCCCACGUAGAUGGUUAGUGCGUAUAGACCAAAUGGCCAGACUCAGAUCAAAUACCAAGAUCUCGUUAAGCGUGUUAAGUAUCCGCGAACGCCGACCAGGGCUAGGCCCACCUCUUACCUAGGCGGUCUCAACCUGCCCUGUCGCUCCGCCACAUAGAUCCACUUGCGGGUACUCCUACGAGCCGACCCGACUUUAGUCUUCACAUGUGUCAUGUAUAUAGUAUAUAAGUAUAUACCCGCGAUCACCGCCCAGGUGAUCACGGCCCGAUAGUGUAGCACAGCAGACGGACAAGAAUGUAGGGCCACUGAUGGAAAUCUAGCAUCCUAUACUAAGCAUGUAGGAUUGCAGGUAAAGGUAUCAACAGUAGUAGCAAGGAUAGGCUAUGCAUCAGAAUAGGAUAUCGAAAAGCAGUAACAUGCUACACUACUCUAAUGCAAGCAGUAUAGAGGAGAGUAGGCGAUAUCUGGUGAUCAAGGGGGGGGGCUUGCCUGGUUGCUCUGGCAAGUAGGAGGGGUCGUCGACUCCGUAGUCGAACUGGGCAGCAGCAGUGUCGGUCUCGUAGUCUACCGGAGAGAAGAGGGGGAAGAAACAGUAAAUACAAUGCAAACAUAAGCAUGACGAUGCGUGACAUGACAGUGAGCGGUGCUAGGGGUGUCCUAACGCGACAGUAGGUGGUACCGGUGAAGGGGGGGAACAUCCGGGAGGUAUUCCUGAUGUUUCACGUUUUCGGACAGACGGACCGGAGGGGGAAAGUUGCUAGUUCGAUAGGUUAGGGAGGUGUGGUGGACGAACGGACUGCGUAUUCGGAUUCGUCUCGUCGUUCUGAGCAACUUUCAUAUAGAAAACAUUUUCAUCCGAGUUACGGUUUAAAAGAUAUGAAUUUUCAAAGGUUAUUUGAAUUUCUGAAAUUAUUUAAUUAACAGAAAAAGGGAUAUGACGUCAGCAUGACGUAUGAGUGACGUCAGCGGUCAACAGUCCGGGUUGACUGGUCAAACUGACAAGGGGGACCCACCUGUCAUAGACAGUGGGUUAACAGAGGAUUAACUAAUUAGUUUUUAGUUAAUUAACUACUGGGCCCACCUGUCAGUGAGAGAUUAAUUAAACUAAUUAUUUUUAUUUAUAAAAACAUUUUAUUUUCUUUUUUAAUUUUUGCGGCGGGGCCCGCAUGUCAGUGACUGGGCCUGCCCAGUCAGCAGUUGACUGGGUCAACCCAGUCAACUGGGGCCCGUGGGGGCCACUGGCAGGGACACUGGGGGUGGGGCCAGGCCAGCCACGUCGGCGGCCGACGCCGGAGCAACGCCGGCGACCAGACGCACGGCGGCGCGGCUCGGGAGGGGUACGGGUUUCGCGUACAGGGGGUCUCCGGAGGCGUGGCUGGGCGCGUUCGACGCGGCUCGACGUCGCGCGUCCAACGGCGGUGGUCGGAGGGGCUGGAACGGCCGGAGUCGACCGCUACAAGCUCGCCGGCGGCGAGGUGCUACGGGUGCCCGACGGAAGCUACGCUAGAGCGCGCGAACGGCCGAACUAGCUAGCUAGGUGGGUGCGGCACGGUGCGGUCGGGCUAGCGGGCCAACGCCCGUGACCAUUUGGUCACCGGAGACACGCCGGCGGCGAGCUCCGCGGCGUGGCGUUCGGGCGCGCGCGGGGAAGCAGCUACAGAGCGCGAGCGAGCUAACGGAGAGGGGGAGGAGGUAGAGGAGCUCACCGCGCGGCGCAAGAAAGGCCCGUGGGUGGCUUAGUAGCAGCAGGUCGUCGCCGGGGAAGAAGGGGGUCGCCGGCGCCCGAAGAUGAAGGCGAGCUCGGGGAGGCCGAUGCAGUGGCUCCGAGCUUCGACGGAGAGGCGGAGGGGGUGUAGUCGAGGGCGGCGACGUCGUACGACACGGCGAGGUGGCGAGUGGGGCACGGUGGCCGCGGGAACUACGGUGAACGGCGGCGAGCGCGCUCGGGCAGAGGGGAACGGAGGGGAGAGGGAGGGGGAUCUGGCGGGGGAGAAGGCGCANNNNNNNNNNNNNNNNNNNNNNNNNNNNNNNNNNNNNNNNNNNNNNNNNNNNNNNNNNNNNNNNNNNNNNNNNNNNNNNNNNNNNNNNNNNNNNNNNNNNNNNNNNNNNNNNNNNNNNNNNNNNNNNNNNNNNNNNNNNNNNNNNNNNNNNNNNNNNNNNNNNNNNNNNNNNNNNNNNNNNNNNNNNNNNNNNNNNNNNNNNNNNNNNNNNNNNNNNNNNNNNNNNNNNNNNNNNNNNNNNNNNNNNNNNNNNNNNNNNNNNNNNNNNNNNNNNNNNNNNNNNNNNNNNNNNNNNNNNNNNNNNNNNNNNNNNNNNNNNNNNNNNNNNNNNNNNNNNNNNNNNNNNNNNNNNNNNNNNNNNNNNNNNNNNNNNNNNNNNNNNNNNNNNNNNNNNNNNNNNNNNNNNNNNNNNNNNNNNNNNNNNNNNNNNNNNNNNNNNNNNNNNNNNNNNNNNNNNNNNNNNNNNNNNNNNNNNNNNNNNNNNNNNNNNNNNNNNNNNNNNNNNNNNNNNNNNNNNNNNNNNNNNNNNNNNNNNNNNNNNNNNNNNNNNNNNNNNNNNNNNNNNNNNNNNNNNNNNNNNNNNNNNNNNNNNNNNNNNNNNNNNNNNNNNNNNNNNNNNNNNNNNNNNNNNNNNNNNNNNNNNNNNNNNNNNNNNNNNNNNNNNNNNNNNNNNNNNNNNNNNNNNNNNNNNNNNNNNNNNNNNNNNNNNNNNNNNNNNNNNNNNNNNNNNNNNNNNNNNNNNNNNNNNNNNNNNNNNNNNNNNNNNNNNNNNNNNNNNNNNNNNNNNNNNNNNNNNNNNNNNNNNNNNNNNNNNNNNNNNNNNNNNNNNNNNNNNNNNNNNNNNNNNNNNNNNNNNNNNNNNNNNNNNNNNNNNNNNNNNNNNNNNNNNNNNNNNNNNNNNNNNNNNNNNNNNNNNNNNNNNNNNNNNNNNNNNNNNNNNNNNNNNNNNNNNNNNNNNNNNNNNNNNNNNNNNNNNNNNNNNNNNNNNNNNNNNNNNNNNNNNNNNNNNNNNNNNNNNNNNNNNNNNNNNNNNNNNNNNNNNNNNNNNNNNNNNNNNNNNNNNNNNNNNNNNNNNNNNNNNNNNNNNNNNNNNNNNNNNNNNNNNNNNNNNNNNNNNNNNNNNNNNNNNNNNNNNNNNNNNNNNNNNNNNNNNNNNNNNNNNNNNNNNNNNNNNNNNNNNNNNNNNNNNNNNNNNNNNNNNNNNNNNNNNNNNNNNNNNNNNNNNNNNNNNNNNNNNNNNNNNNNNNNNNNNNNGGGGUUUGGGCCGGGGGGGUCAGGGGGGGGAGGCCUGCUCCUUUUUUUUCUUUUUCUCUGACUGUUUCUGUUUUCUUUUUAUUUGCUUAUUCCCUUUUCUGUUUUAUUUCAUUUAAAGCAUUUAGGCAUUUUAUAAAAAUGUGUUCUCUCCACCAUAAUUACGAGUGUAAUAUUUGGCUCCCACUGAACAUUUUUGUUUGAGUUUUUGAAAACUUUUAUUUAUCACUUUAAUUAUAUUUGAAGUUUGAGCUAGGAGUUUGGAAGGAAGGUGAUUCAAAUGUGAUCAAGCCUUGUUUAGCAACAUGAUUAGCUUAAUCACAGGGAGUUACUGUAGCAUGAUUCCCAGGGUGUUACAAAUCUCCUCCACUACAAGAAAUCUCGUCCCGAGAUUUAGGAGGUAGAAGGAAACAGUGCGGGGUAUUCUUCGCGCAGACGAUCCUCUCGUUCCCAAGUGGCCUCAUCUUCAGAAUGGUGCGACCACUGGACUUUGAGAAACUUGAUCGCCUUCUGACGUGUGCGGCGUUCAGCUUGGUCGAGAAUGCGGACCGGAUGCUCCUUAUAGGAGAGGUCUUGCUGUAAUUCGAGCACUUCAUGAUCCACAUCUCGGAUUGGAUCCUUGAAGCAACGGCGGAGCUGCGACACAUGGAACACAUCGUGAACCUGAGAAAGGUUCGGCGGUAGCUCCAGUUGGUAUGCCACUUUUCCACGCCUUUCAAGAAUAGUGAAUGGGCCAAUAUAGCGAGGAGCUAGUUUGCCCUUGAUCCCGAAGCGGUGAGCACCCUUCAUAGGUGUGACUCGAAGAUAAGCCUUUUCGCCAGGUUGAUAGACCAUGUCUUUAUGAUGACGGUCAUACUGACUCUUCUGACGUGACUGAGCAGUCUUGAGAUUCUCGCGAAUAAUGCGGACUUGUUCUUCGGCAUCUUGGAUAAUAUCCGGACCGAAGAGUGGACGUUCCCCAGUUUCUGACCAGUUCAGAGGGGUUCGGCACUUUCGCCCAUAUAACACUUCGAAGGGGGCCAUCUUCAGACUAGCUUGAUAGCUAUUAUUAUAAGAGAACUCAGCAUACGGGAGAGAUUCCUCCCAUUUCUUGCCGAAGGAAAUAACGCAAGCUCGAAGCAUGUCUUCGAGAACUUGAUUGACGCGUUCAACUUGUCCUUGCGAUUGAGGAUGAAACGCAGUACUGAAUGACAGAUGAGUUCCCAUUGCUUCUUGGAAACUUGCCCAAAAUCUUGAAGUGAAUAAGCUACCACGGUCUGAACUGAUAACCAAUGGAAUACCGUGGAGUGAAACAAUCCUGGACAUAUAGAGCGUUGCCAACUGGCUAGCAGUGAUCGUUUCUUUGACUGCCAGAAAAUGUGCAACUUUGGAAAGUCGGUCAAUGACGACAAGAAUAGCAUCAUUACCUUUCUGUGAUUUGGGAAAUCCAGUGACGAAGUCCAUUUCAACAUGGUCCCAUUUCCAUUCAGGAAUAGAGAUAGGUUGCAGAGUUCCAGCAGGCCUUUGAUGUUCUGCUUUGAUUCGACGGCAAACGUCACACUCAGCAACAUAACGAGCAAUGUCUUGCUUCAUAUUAGACCACCAGAAUCUUUGACGGAUAUCUUGGUACAUCUUUGUACUACCCGGAUGGAUACUUAGAGGCGUAUCAUGAGCUUCUUUCAUAACUUCCUGUGUCAUAUCCAGGUUUUUCUCUGUACAUGGCACCACUAGGCGGCCCUUGAAGUAUAGGGUGCCAUCUUCAGAAAUGGUGAAGAAUGAGGGCUUUCCUUCUGCGAGGUAGCGCUUAAUCUUGUAGGCUUCAGAGUCAUACUUCUGUAGCCUUUUGAUGCUGUCCUCGAGAUCUGGUUUAGCAACUAGGGUAUUGAGGGAACCCUGGGUAACAACAUGGAGAUUCACCUUGCCAAAUUGUUUAGGAGGGGGAGCGAGUGCACCCGGAGGAACAAUAUGGAGGUUCAGCUUCCUGAAUUCCUCAACAAGCGAGGGCUGAACUUUGUGAACCUGAAGGUGGUUGCAGUAAGACUUGCGGCUCAAGGCAUCAACCAUUACAUUAGCCUUGCCUGGCGUAUAGGAAAUACCCAAGUCAAAGUCUGCAACAAGCUCCAUCCAUCUCUGCUGGCGGAGGUUCAGAUCUGGCUGAGUAAACAGAUACUUCAGACUUUGGUGGUCAGUGAAGAUCUCGCAACGAUUACCGAGAAGGUAAUGUCGCCACUGCUUCAGCGCAUGAAUGACUGCAGCAAGUUCGAGGUCGUGAACUGGGUAGUUCUCUUCGUGAGGGCGCAAUUGUCGAGAGGCAUAAGCAAUCACUUUGCGGUCUUGCAUUAGGACACAGCCUAACCCUUGACGGGAAGCGUCGCAGUAAAUGACGAAGUCCUUCUUAGUAUCAGGUGGAGCUAGAACUGGGGCAGAAGUCAACUUGUCUUUGAGUGCCUGGAAACUUUCCUGACAUUUGUCUGUCCAUUGGAACUUGACACCCUUAUGCAACAGGUUAGUCAGAGGCCUGGCGAUCUUAGAGAAGUUCUCGACGAAUCGACGGCAAUAGCUGGCGAGACCGAGAAAACUUCUGACUUGCUUAACGUUCUUGGGAGGAGUCCAAUCAAGAAUAGCCUGAACUCGCUCGGGGUUGACGGCAAUACCAUCCUUAGAGAUGACAUGCCCCAGAUAGGUUACUUCCGGUAGCCAGAAUUCACAUUUAGAGAACUUGGCAUAUAGUUGAUGUUCUCGUAGUUUCUCCAGCACAAGUCAAAGAUGUUCAGCAUGUUCUUCUUCGUUCUUGGAAAAUAUCAGGAUAUCAUCCAGAUAAACCACGACGAACUUGUCGAGGUAAUCCAUGAAUAUGUAGUUCAUCAGACGAGAGAAGGUGGCUGGAGCAUUGGUUAAACCGAAAGACAUGACGGUGUACUCGUAUGAACCAUAGCGAGUCACGAAGGCGGUCUUUGGGAUAUCCUCUUCGCGAACACGGAUCUGGUGGUAGCCCAACCUCAAGUCGAGCUUAGAGAACACUGACGAACCCGCCAGUUGAUCAUACAGAUCAUUGAUCCGAGGAAGAGGGUAUUUAUUCUGAAUGGUAGCUUGGUUUAUAGGACGGUAGUCUUGAACUAACCGGUUUGUCCCAUCCUUCUUCUUAACAAAGAGAGAAGGUGCUCCCCAAGGAGAGCAACUUGGGCGAAUGAAUCCUUUGCGAAGAGACUUGUCGAUUUCCUCCUUAAGCUCAAGGAGUUCAUGCGGCGGCAUUUUGUAGGGUCGCUUGGCUAUAGGAGUGGUGCCUGGUUUCAAGUCGAUGAUGAAUUCGACAGCUCUAGCAGGGGGAAUCCCCGGAAGUUCUUCAGGAAAGACGUCGAGGAAUUCACGCACGACGGGAAUGUUUUCAAUGCCCUCGAGUGGUGCAGCGUUCAAUGCAUUCAAUGCAUAGAGCCUUGCCUCGGCAUUUUGCACCAGAUGGGCUUGGUAAGUAACUAUCUCAUCUGAAGGGUGUAGCAGAUGGACGGUCUUAGUGGUGCAAAUGAUUGAAGCAGUAUGCGCUUUUAACCAAUUCAUUCCCAGAAUGAGAUCAAUGCUACAGGACUUCAGUACGAUGGGAGAGACAAGAAAUUCCAGUCCUUCAAUUUUAACAGUAACAUCGCGACUAACCAUAGAGGUUUGACAUUGGCCCGCUGGGGUGUGUACCACUAGCGGAGUGUUUAUCUCUUCGUGAUGAAUGCCAUGCAGGAAUGCAAAUUCUGCUGAAAUGAAUGAAUGGGAUGCUCCUGUAUCAAAUAAAACGGAUGCUGGUACUGAAUUUACGAGGAGUGUACCCAUCACAGUAGCAGGCUGGUCUUGAGCUUCGCUGAGAUCAACGUGGUUGGCAUGAGCGCGACCAUGAGACUUAGCAUUGUUGUUGCGGGGCUGGUUGUUACCACGGCCAGCUGCUGGAAGGGCCAGUUGAUUCUGGUUCUGAUAGCAGUUCCUGGCAAAGUGACCCGGUUGACCACACUUGAAGCACAGACCAUUAUCGGGAGUGGGAACAGGAGCCCCAGGUGGGGGAGCUGGUAGCUUUGACUGCUUAGAUGGUGGAGGAGGCAGACGCGGUGCAGCAUAAGAUUUCCUGGGAGCAGGUGCAUUUGGACGAUACAUGCUGUUCGGGAUCCAUAUCUUACGCUUCUGUGAGGGUGAGCCCGAAGAUGAGCCCGUGUCACGGUUGCGCCUCUGAGAGCUCUGGUAUUCCUGCAGACCAGUCUCGACAUUGAUGGCCUUAUUCACCAAGGUGGCGAAAUCGGCGAAGUCAUGCACUAGAAGUGCGAGCUUGAUGUCAGCUUGAAGGCCAUCACGGAACUUCUCCUGUCUGCGUGCAUCAGUUGCAAUGUCUUCUUCAGCAUAGCGGGACAAGUCCAGAAACUCCCGCUAAUAAGCUUCAACAGUUUUGUUGCCUUGGGUGAGGUUGCGGAACUCACGCUUCUUCCGGUCCAUGACUCCCUGAGGAAUGAAGCGGGCACGGAAAGCAGCUUGGAAGUCUGGCCAGGUGAUGAUUGUUCCAGCUGGCAGAGUACGCCUGUGGCUGUCCCACCAUUGAGCUGCGGGUCCCUUCAAGAAGAAGGAAGCAAAAUUGACAUAGCUGGUAGGGGCUACAUCAGCAGACUCCAUCUCAUAGGUGAUGUCACGGAGCCAGUCAUCAGCAUCCAGAGGCUGAGUUGAGCUGCGGUAGAUGGUUGGGUUGAGGCGUAUGAAAUCUUGAAGAGUCACUUGGGCUGGCUGCUGGUUCAUAUUGGGGCGAGGAAACUGAGCCAUCAUAUUUUCCAUGAAUUGGCGGUUCAGUUCGAACUGUUGGAUCAUACCAGCCAUGUACUCAGGUGGUGGUGGGGCAUCGCCACCGCGACCACGACCACCUGGUCUAACCAUCCUGCUAAUAUAUAACAGGGGUAGUUCAGCAUUGAGAAAAUUUGCAAUGACAAGAAUCAUUCAUAAUGAAACAUGCAUAAUGAAAGGAGCACGAUAGCUACUACAUAGUAGUCGGCAUAGCUUACAAAAGGGGUCAUGCAUAGAGUUCAGUACACAGAGUUCAGUACAUAGACUAAAACAUCAUAGGCGGCACACAGGCUCGCGGCGAAUGCAUCUAACACUACAAGCAAGCCUACAUCAGUCCCAAGAGGUACUGUGGAGGUAAUCGUAGCCCGACAGCUGGUAGUGAGGCAACGGAUAGCCCUCGACGUCAGCAGACUGGGGGCCCGCGGAUACUCAGGUGUAGAGUCCGACGCUCAGGUGGCAGAAGAGAACCAAGUGCGGGAGAGUAGCCUUCCACCUCUGGCCAACCGACACCGUGGGGCAUCAUGGUCCUGGCUGGGUAGAUCGCAGCACGCGGUACCUGUCCAGAUCGGACAAAGGGGUGCAGCAGCGUCAGAGCACGGUAAAGGUGCUGACGGGUGGUGUACAUCUCGUGACGAAGAGCUCGGUUAGCUCGAUCCAGCCCAUCAGCAUGCAGAACCAGGUGCUGAUGGUAGAAGGGCUCCUGGGUGACAGUGGAGUAGGCAGCAGUAUAGUAUCCCUCCGCACCAACAUCAGAGGCGAUAGCAAUGUGCCUGAAAGGGGAGGUGUCCAACUCCCGAUACUCUCCACGAAGACGUGUCAGAGCAGCAUAGGCUGCAUCGUGGACAGCCAUAUCGAUGGUCACACCAACACCAUGUGCGGUGUGCAGCACAGAAGUGGAGUCGUACUCCCGAGAGUAGAGGUGGACGAUGGCACGGUACUGCUCCUGGUUAAAGUCCUGGUACUCCUCGUAGACGGUGAACUCAAGGUGCCAGCGAUAACCCAGAUAGGUCAUCAUCUCAGCUAGCACCGCAGGUGAUCCCGAGGCACCAAUGGCCAUCGUGUGGCGAACAACCUGCCUCGUGGGUUCCAUCUGAAAGCAAAGACGUUUCAAAGGAGUCAAAUGACAGUGUGUGAAUUGGUCAAAAUACUAUUCUAAGAAACAACUAAGGCUUAUCCAUCUUUGGGGUGAACGCGGUCACGGGAUCCUAGUGUCAGAGUUAGUAAAUUCGUUUAACCCGAGUAGAAGAGAGUUCAGAGUCCCAGAGUAAAGGUCGAGGAGUAAAAGAUCCUAGUACCACCCAAUGGCGACGUGGGCCCGUAAGACACACAGCCAUGUUAGUAAAAGUUUUUGUAAUGUCUAGACUCGACUUCGGCCAAGGAGUGUGGAAGGGGGUUUCCUACAGGCAGUCGGCUCUGAUACCAACUUGUGACGCCCCCGAUUUGACCGUACACUAAUCAUGCACGCAAAUGUGUACGACCAAGAUCAGGGACUCACGGGAAGAUAUCACAACACAACUCUAAAACAUAAAUAAGUCAUACAAGCAUCAUAAUACAAGCCAGGGGCCUCGAGGGCUCGAAUACAAGUGCUCGAUCACAGACGAGUCAGCGGAAGCAACAAUAUCUGAGUACAGACAUAAGUUAAACAAGUUUUGCCUUAAGAAGGCUAGCACAAGAGUAGCAACGAUCGAAGAGGCAAGGCCUCCUGCCUGGGACCUCCUAACUACUCCUGGUCGUCGUCAGCGGCCUGCACGUAGUAGUAGGCACCUCCAGUGCCGUAGGUGUCGUCGUCGACGGUGGCGUCUGGCUCCUGAACUCCAACAUCUGGUUGCGACAACCAGAUAGAAAGGAAAGGGGGAAAAGAGGGAGAGAAGCAACCGUGAGUACUCAUCCAAAGUACUCGCAAGCAAGGAGCUACACUACAUAUGCAUGGGUAUAUGUGUAAAGGGGCAUAUCAGUGGACUGAACUGCAGAAUGCCAGAAUUAAAAGGGGGAUAGCUAGUCCUGUCGAAGACUACGCUUCUGGACAUCUCCAUCUUGCAGCAUAAAGAAGAGAGUAGAUUGAAGUCCUCCAAGUAGCAUCGCAUAGCAUAAUCCUACCCGGCAAUCCCCUCCUCGUCGCCCUGUUAGAGAGCGAUCACCGGGUUGUAUCUGGCACUUGGAAGGGUGUAUUUUAUUCAGUAUCCAGUUCUAGUUGUCAUAAGCUCAAGGUACAACUCCGGGUCGUCCUUUUACCGAGGGACACGACUAUUCGAAUAGAUAAACUUCCCUGCAGGGGUGCACCACAUAACCCAACACGCUCGAUCCCAAUUGGCCGGACACACUUUUCUGGGUCAUGCCCGGCCUCGUAAGAUCAACACGUCGCAGUCCCACCUAGGCUCAACAGAGAGGUCAGCACGCCGGUCUAAACCUAUGCGCGCAGGGGUCUGGGCCCAUCGCCCUAUGCACACCUGCACGUUGCGAACGCGGCCGCGAGCAGACCUAGCAACCCACACGAUCACGGCGGUUACGUCAAAGCGGUCCAACACGGCGCGCGCCACUCAGUCGCUGACGUCAAAAGAGCUUCGGCUGAUACCACGACGUCGGGAUACCCAUAACUACUCCCACGUAGAUGGUUAGUGCGUAUAGACCAAAUGGCCAGACUCAGAUCAAAUACCAAGAUCUCGUUAAGCGUGUUAAGUAUCCGCGAACGCCGACCAGGGCCAGGCCCACCUCUUACCUAGGUGGUCUCAACCUGCCCUGUCGCUCCGCCACAAAGAUCCACUUGCGGGUACUCCUACGAGCCGACCCGACUUUAGUCAUCACAUGUGUCAUGUAUAUAGUAUAUAAGUAUAUACCCGCGAUCACCGCCCAGGUGAUCACGGCCCGAUAGUGUAGCACAGCAGACGGACAAGAAUGUAGGGCCACUGAUGGAAAUCUAGCAUCCUAUACUAAGCAUGUAGGAUUGCAGGUAAAGGUAUCAACAGUAGUAGCAAGGAUAGGCUAUGCAUCAGAAUAGGAUAUCGAAAAGCAGUAACAUGCUACACUACUCUAAUGCAAGCAGUAUAGAGGAGAGUAGGCGAUAUCUGGUGAUCAAGGGGGGGGCUUGCCUGGUUGCUCUGGCAAGUAGGAGGGGUCGUCGACUCCGUAGUCGAACUGGGCAGCAGCAGUGUCGGUCUCGUAGUCUACCGGAGAGAAGAGGGGGAAGAAACAGUAAAUACAAUGCAAACAUAAGCAUGACGAUGCGUGACAUGACAGUGAGCGGUGCUAGGGGUGUCCUAACGCGACAGUAGGUGGUACCGGUGAAGGGGGGGAACAUCCGGGAGGUAUUCCCGAUGUUUCACGUUUUCGGACAAACGGACCGGAGGGGGAAAGUUACUAGUUCGAUAGGUUAGGGAGGUGUGGUGGACGAACGGACUGCGUAUUCGGAUUCGUCUCGUCGUUCUGAGCAACUUUCAUAUAGAAAACAUUUUCAUCCGAGUUACGGUUUAAAAGAUAUGAAUUUUCAAAGUUUAUUUGAAUUUCUGGAAUUAUUUAAUUAACAGAAAAAGGGAUAUGACGUCAGCAUGACGUAUGAGUAACGUCAGCGGUCAACAGUCCGGGUUGACUGGUCAAACUGACAAGGGGGACCCACCUGUCAUAGACAGUGGGUUAACAGAGGAUUAACUAAUUAGUUUUUAGUUAAUUAACUACUGGGCCCACCUGUCAGUGAGAGAUUAAUUAAACUAAUUAUUUUUAUUUAUAAAAACAUUUUAUUUUCUUUUCUUUUUUAAUUUUUGCGGCGGGGCCCGCAUGUCAGUGACUGGGCCUGCCCAGUCAGCAGUUGACUGGGUCAACCCAGUCAACUGGGGCCCGUGGGGGCCACUGGCAGGGACACUGGGGGUGGGGCCAGGCCAGCCACGUCGGCGGCCGACGCCGGAGCAACGCCGGCGACCAGACGCACAGCGGCGCGGCUCGGGAGGGGUACGGGUUUCGCGUACAGGGGGUCUCCGGAGGCGUGGCUGGGCGCGUUCGACGCGGCUCGACGUCGCGCGUCCAACGGCGGUGGUCGGAGGGGCUGGAACGGCCGGAGUCGACCGCUACGAGCUCGCCGGCGGCGAGGUGCUACGGGUGCCCCACGGAAGCUACGCUAGAGCGCGCGGACGGCCGAACUAGCUAGCUAGGUGGGUGCGGCACGGUGCGGUCGGGCUAGCGGGCCAACGCCCGUGACCAUUUGGUCACCGGAGACACGCCGGCGGCGAGCUCCGCGGCGUGGCGUUCGGGCGCGCGCGGGGAAGCAGCUACAGAGCGCGAGCGAGCUAACGGAGAGGGGGAGGAGGUAGAGGAGCUCACCGCGCGGCGCAAGAAAGGCCCGUGGGUGGCUUAGUAGCAGCAGGUCGUCGCCGGGGAAGAAGGGGGUCGCCGGCGCCCGAAGAUGAAGGCGAGCUCGGGGAGGCCGAUGCAGUGGCUCCGAGCUUCGACGGAGAGGCGGAGGGGGUGUAGUCGAGGGCGGCGACGUCGUACGACACGGCGAGGUGGCGAGUGGGGCACGGUGGCCGCGGGAACUACGGUGAACGGCGGCGAGCGCGCUCGGGCAGAGGGGAACGGAGGGGAGAGGGAGGGGGAUCUGGCGGGGGAGAAGGCGCANNNNNNNNNNNNNNNNNNNNNNNNNNNNNNNNNNNNNNNNNNNNNNNNNNNNNNNNNNNNNNNNNNNNNNNNNNNNNNNNNNNNNNNNNNNNNNNNNNNNNNNNNNNNNNNNNNNNNNNNNNNNNNNNNNNNNNNNNNNNNNNNNNNNNNNNNNNNNNNNNNNNNNNNNNNNNNNNNNNNNNNNNNNNNNNNNNNNNNNNNNNNNNNNNNNNNNNNNNNNNNNNNNNNNNNNNNNNNNNNNNNNNNNNNNNNNNNNNNNNNNNNNNNNNNNNNNNNNNNNNNNNNNNNNNNNNNNNNNNNNNNNNNNNNNNNNNNNNNNNNNNNNNNNNNNNNNNNNNNNNNNNNNNNNNNNNNNNNNNNNNNNNNNNNNNNNNNNNNNNNNNNNNNNNNNNNNNNNNNNNNNNNNNNNNNNNNNNNNNNNNNNNNNNNNNNNNNNNNNNNNNNNNNNNNNNNNNNNNNNNNNNNNNNNNNNNNNNNNNNNNNNNNNNNNNNNNNNNNGGGGGUAGGGGGGGGGGAGGCCUGCUCCUUUUUUUUCUUUUUCUCUGACUGUUUCUGUUUUCUUUUUAUUUGCUUAGUCCCUUUUCUGUUUUAUUUCAUUUAAAGCAUUUAGGCAUUUUAUAAAAAUGUGUUCUCUCCACCAUAAUUACGAGUGUAAUAUUUGGCUCCCACUGAACAUUUUUGUUUGAGUUUUUGAAAACUUUUAUUUAUCACUUUAAUUAUAUUUGAAGUUUGAGCUAGGAGUUUGGAAGGAAGGUGAUUCAAAUGUGAUCAAGCCUUGUUUAGCAACAUGAUUAGCUUAAUCACAGGGAGUUACUGUAGCAUGAUUCCCAGGGUGUUACACACCUUCCAUGUCAGUCAAUUGAAGAAGCAUAUUGGCCCAACAGUUGUGCCUUCUCGUCACCUUUCACUUGUUGGUCCUGAUGGUGUUAUUAAAGUGGAACCGGAAGCGAUAUUGGAAAGGGAACUCAUUCCUCGUCCUCAGGGCAAGAUCAGCAUUCCUGUGGUAAGAUGGUUGGUGAAGUGGGUGAAUAUGCCCGUGGAAGAGGCUACUUGGGAGGACUCGGCCUUCAUUCAGAAGGUUUUUCCUUCGUAUCGUGCUUGAGGGCAAGCACGAGCUCAACCGGGGGGUAUUGUCAGGCCCAGCCUUGAUCAUCCCCUGUUCCAGCGUGCCAGAAGUGCUUCAGUUCGUCGAUCGUCCAUCUAACGGCUCACCUGCCUGCGUACCGGUUCGCCAGCUGAAACGAUCUCCAGGCGUUCAUUGUUGAUCUAACGGCUGCGAUGGGUCGCUGUAGCUUUUCCGACAAGCCAUGUGCUCUGUUCACUUUCUGUUCUUCUUUUUCACUCGUGUAAUGGCUAUAAAGCCACCCAUUCCCCUCAUUCUGAACCAUGUUGAAUUGUAUCGGGUGUAAACCCUAGCCGCCGGUGGCGUGCUGAACCUACUUUCCUCAUUUCUCAAGCAAGAACCCUAGUUUUGCGUCUCUGAAUUGCCCACGAUUCCUCGAAGUGUCACUUAAUUUCAGUAAUUCAGAGCUCUGAGCCUGACAGACGGCGUCCUUGGACAUCGCAACUUUGUACUACUCCUACUCCAAGGGCGGACGAGGAUCCCCUGCCGUACGACACCCAGUCGUUCGCUCACUGACAUGUGGGCCUGCCGGGAACCUGGCCCACAUGUUAGUGGGCCAACGGCAGUGGCCGUACGUUAGAGGAGCUGGUUCCCUCCAAGGGCUUGAUUUAGAUGAAAUUAAGGGCUAGUUCUUUUGGACGGCUUAAAAAAUAAGCCACCUCCCACGUAGCUUUUUUCAUAAGCUGUCUUUUAUAUUCAUUGAGGCUUCUAAACUCGUUCAUCGACUUACAUAUGUCUGCCAGUGCCUCCAAUGGCAGACAAGUUAAAUGGGUUCCUUCCAACAAUCAUCUACGGUGUGCACGUCGGCGAGCUUCUUAAACUGCAACACCACCCAUCGCUAUGCCUGCCCCAUGAUUGGAGGACAUCGCUUGGAUAUACAGUGGCAAAUCCGGACGAUAUACGGAUGGACCAUUGCGAAACCAAUUAUAUGUAUAUAUAUGUGUAGGAACAAGACAAGUAGACAACUAAGACAGAUCAAUUAGACAGUGAGUGGUCACUAGAUAAGAUGGUUAGACAGUGUAGCAGCUACAGUUGACAAAAUGAGAGCUGGACUAGCUUGUUUUGUCCUCUAGUAGAGCCAAUUUUUCUUUCACUUGCAGCAUUAGGUCAUCUUUGUUUUACAAUCGAGGGGCAUACUGCAAGUGAUUACAGCCUUGUCGAGUAUGGGAUUUCCGAACGAUUACAAGAGGGGGCGAGGCGCUUCAGGCUUUGUACAAUGCAAUGUGCUUCGAAAGGUGUUUAGUAAAAUAAAUUACUCCCCCACGUUCACUUUUAAAGACGUUUUCGACAGCUGAAAUUGAACUGUUUUGGAUGUUGUCUUAUAAAUGUCUAAAAGGUCUUACAAAAGUGAACGGAGGGAGUAAAUUUUUAAAGCAUUAGUGGUAAUCUGUACAUGAGGGGUGCUAAUUAAGUGUCUAUUAUCUACAAAUAAGCAUAUGUGCUUAAAGUAAAAAUACUCUCUCCGUCCUACAAUAUAGAGUCAAUUGCAAGAAACCACCACAUUUGCGGCUAGGUUUGCAGGAAACCACCAACUCGCUAAUCCAUUGCAGAAAACACCGAAAAAUUUGUUAAGUCGUUGCAAAAAGCACUGAUCGGAUGAUUUGGCGGUUUAAUCACUUUCUGACAAGUAGGACCGGGUUGUAAGUAGGAAACAAAUGUCAUACACACCCCUAAAUCUAAAAUAAAAAAGCAAUCAGACCCCUACACAUCCCUCACCCUUCCCCGCGCUCGUAACCCAUCCCAUCCCGACCCACCCCCCUGCGCGAGACCUUCCUCCGGCGUCGGCUCCGCCUCCGGCCACCUCACCUAAACCUGCGGCGCCGCCCUAACCCGCCGGAUCCAGGCACCCAGCGCCCGGAUCCACCUCGCGAGGCGCUGUGGCGCGCUGCCCCGUUCUCGGCGAGCCUACCUCCCUCUUCCCCAGCCAAGGCCCCUCGACCGGCAUGGCAGCGCCCUCGUCACUUUCUUGCAGGUCGCCGGCUCGGGCUAGGAGGGCAACGCCGUCGUGCAGCCCCCUUCCAAGAGAGCCACGCCCAACCCCUGGUGGUGGUGCACCGCACGGCGUCCCCAGCUGCGCUGAGGUGUUGCUUCGGGCACGGCGUCGAGCUACUGCUGCUGCUUGCAUGGCGUCAAGCCACGGAGGAGCGGCGUCGAGCUGCUGUGGCUGUUUGCACGGCGUCGAGCCAGGGAUGAGCGGCGUCGAGCUGCUGUGGCUGCUUGCACGGCGUCGAGGAGCUGCCGUCGAGCAGCUGCGGAGCCAAGCACUCCCGUUGCAUGCCGUCGGGCUGUGGAUAGGGCGCCACCGUGCCGGGCGGAUGGCAGCAGCGCAGCGGCGGCACGUAGUAGAUACGGCGUUGGUGUUCCACGGGGAGGGUCUGAUUGCUUUUGUUUUUUAGAUCUAGGGUGUAUGUGUUAUUUUUUUUGCUAAGUCAAUUCCUUACAAUCUGGCCCCACUUGUAAGAAAGUGAUUAAACGGGCCAAAUCAUCCGAUCAGUGCUUUUUGCAACGACUUAACAAAUUUUUCGGUGUUUUCUGCAACAGAUUAGCAAGUUGGUGGUUUCCUGCAAACCUAGCCGCAAAUGUGAUGAUUUCUUGCAAUUGACUCUACAAUAUAAUACGUUUUUGCAAGCUAACAAAAACGUCUUAUAUUGUGGGACGAAGGGAGUAGAUUAUUUCUCUAAGAACAUUUCCUAAACAUCUUGCAUUUGUACAUGGCCUUAACACCGCAUGGAGAACCAGAGCAGCUGAAGUAGUAGAGUGUUUAUGAAGCUAAUCAUGAAUGGCGGUACCACAUAGAUUCGUAGACUUCCGCAAAGUAGUAUGAUCAUUUUUAACCAAUGUGAUUAUGUGAAAGCCAACAAAUUGAUUUCUAGGUAACAAGUGGCGUGAGGAAGCAGGAAAGCAAGGUGGCGUCUCAGCGACAUCCUGAUGUAUGUAACGUGGAAUAUGGACGAAGCUGAACAUUUAUAUGUUCACUCACAAGUGUCUCACUCUUUUUUCCCUCUCUUUUUCUUUUUUGAAAUUCACGAGUGUCUCACUCUCACCUACUCCCUCCGUUCUAAAAUAGAUGACCCAACUUUAUACUAACUUUGUACUAAAGUUAGUACAAAGUUGAGUCAUCUAUUUUGAAAUGAAGGGAGUACGUUGUAGUGGAGGAUUUGGUUUUAGAUGUCAUAUGGGCCUAGAGUGUAGUCGUGCCUCAACGUAGGGGAGUGUAGUUUGCAUGCGUUAUGUCAGUAAUUUUCUCUUCUUUUUCAGUUUUACCGAAAACAAUCACCGCCCCUCUUUGUGCAUCUACAUUUCCUUUUGGUUGCUCCAGUCAAGUAAUUGGUUUUUUGCACUUCGUUUCUCUUUUUUAAUGGUGAAGGUACCAUGCGGUCUGGUAAACUUUUUCAUCGAGAAUUUUCUCCCUUCCCCUCAGCGUCUAAGGCCAACUCCCCCUCCAAACUUUGUAGACGAAACCGUGAAUUUGUCUCUCCUUUAACCAUUGCUCCCUUAAUAGGUGUUGGUGGGUGAGGAUUCCGGUGCCUUCGCUCCGGCUAGUAGUUUAGGUUGAGAUUUUUUUAAUCCUCACUGAUGCGGCGCUCGGGCAAAUGACUGCACUUCUUCUUCGAGUUUGUCUUCUUGGCUCCGAUUCUCUUUGAGUUUGUCCAUCUGGACGUAGUUGACGGAGCUCCAAUGUAAAUUCCUACCGUCUCCUUGGGGUGUGCACACGCGCGUUCCUCUUGUGCUCCUCUUAUUGUUGUCUCACAACAGAUGCUAUAUGCACAACCAUGUGUCCCUUUGCUAGCUAUCUGAGGUUGGUGCAUCACAUGGUCCCUCAAAGGCGCGACGUGUGCAGGAAGUGCUAGUGAAUUUUGGUUGCAACAUUCUUUUAACAAUUGAACAUGUUUCGUGGUAGCAUCUUCAUGCAUGGAUUUACAUUUGUGAAUAAUAGUCAUGUAAUGAAUGUUGUCUCCAUGAAAUUGGAAUGCUCCUAUAUAUUUAAUGUUCAAGUAUUAUUACUUUCUCUGUAGAGAUUUUUUCGUUGUUAUGUGAUGAGAAAAGUCCACUUUACAAUGUUGAACUUGCCACUCAGUUUAACAUCAAACCAGUUGCCCCACGCCCCGUACUAACCACCCGGUACAAGNNNNNNNNNNNNNNNNNNNNNNNNNNNNNNNNNNNNNNNNNNNNNNNNNNNNNNNNNNNNNNNNNNNNNNNNNNNNNNNNNNNNNNNNNNNNNNNNNNNNNNNNNNNNNNNNNNNNNNNNNNNNNNNNNNNNNNNNNNNNNNNNNNNNNNNNNNNNNNNNNNNNNNNNNAGGAACUUGCAGUUGCGACCCCAUCCAAAAACUUGCAACUUCAACUCCGUGUCGAAAAUUUGCAGUUGCAACCACAUUUGAAAACUUGCACCAGUGAUCUCAUUUAAAAACUUGCAAUCUUCGAGGAACUGAUCUUUAGGUAUCUUUAGAUUGUUUGGAGGUCGCCACCAAUAUCAAUAGUUUGCUCCAUGUCGAUAUGCUACUAGUCUUCGAGAGACUAAUAUCCGGCGAAGUUCAUUCAGGGAGGUAUCUUUCGGCCAUGAAAAAAGAGACAGUAAUGGAGAGGAGCAUGGUUUGGCUAGAGCUGCGACUUCUCUUUUCAUCGGGCGCCAUGUUUGGCUAUCAGUUUUACAUGAUAUUAUUUGCAUUCCCAUGAACUUUGAAUGAUGAAUAAAGCUUGAUAUUCCUAAAGAAACUCGCAUGUUCUAGUUUCAUCCAGCCUGCACGAUUGUGUGCUUCGAUCGAAUGGUCACAUGCAUGAUUGAGACACAAUUAAUUCUCAACUAGAUGAGAAACAACAAAACCAUUAACUUUUGGAAAUACUUCUAUUCAGCGGCCUGAUUGGAGGCUACACGUCCAGUGUGCCGUUCGUGCGCCAGAUGCCCCUUACUGAGCCGUUUGCAACAUGGCCCUUUGUUGCAAGACGCGUGAGCGCAUCGCGAACUAUGUUGUAGACCGAUGAAGAUGAGGCGUGCAGCAACCCUACCGAUACAUUUGUUUGCGACAUGAACCUUGUUGCAAAACGCGCGAGCACAUGGGCUCGGUUGAGAGAACACUUUGAACGGAGUGCAACUGGGCUCCUGUUGUACAAACCUGAGCUAACGAUGAAGCGGCUGUCACACAGAAAAAGAAAUUAUAUUGGGAGGAUUGCAACAAGGUUUGUGUUGUAAAGUGAUAAGGGCAACAUGAGGCUUGUUGCGAAGGCUCGGAUGGAUGUUCGCAACUCCAUCAAACGGCUACCCGGACGGUUUAGGAUUAUAUCUCUUUUUUCCUUUUUUUGGGGGGAUAGGAUUAUAUCAUUCGAUCGACACAUAGCGUUGGCCUUUUUUUUUUACCGAAACUUUGGACCGUGCAUGCAACUCGUACUUCCCAGGAAAAUUGUUGUAUGCGCCAACCAAUGGUCACUCGAUGGCCGCACGAAACAAACAAUGCAUCACAUCCCAAAAUUAAUUACCGGCACACGAAGUGGCCAGAAACGGAUGAUCGAAAGAGAAAUAACGGCUCCAAAUGGCCGGGCGACGUAGUCAAAUCCAAGCCCUCUGCAGAUUUAGGACGCAACUUUCACCAUCAGGCACACCGCGCACACACAUCACCCGCCGCCGGACGCCACCGAAAAAUUCAACGCGGACGACGCCGCCCGCGCCUUUCGGCCGCGCCGAUCAAGAAAGCCCGCGGCAACCCAUCCGCGCGCGGGGACGAAACGCAACGCGACGACCGCGGCCGAUCGACCGGGCCAUGAAGUCCGGGGGCUCUGAACGCGACCGGCCGUUUUGUCGCCGGCCGGCCAUCUCAGCUAGCCUACGCUAGCAAGCUNNNNNNNNNNNNNNNNNNNNNNNNNNNNNNNNNNNNNNNNNNNNNNNNNNNNNNNNNNNNNNNNNNNNNNNNNNNNNNNNNNNNNNNNNNNNNNNNNNNNNNNNNNNNNNNNNNNNNNNNNNNNNNNNNNNNNNNNNNNNNNNNNNNNNNNNNNNNNNNNNNNNNNNNNNNNNNNNNNNNNNNNNNNNNNNNNNNNNNNNNNNNNNNNNNNNNNNNNNNNNNNNNNNNNNNNNNNNNNNNNNNNNNNNNNNNNNUUUUUAGAACACCUACGCUACCAAGCUGGGGUCAAGCCGGGCGACGGGGACGUGCGUGGCCGACGUGACGCGACGCGCGUGGGUGGAAGAUUUUAAGGGCGCGCGUCCACGUCGCGCCAGCCGAGCCGGCCCGGGGCGGCGUGACGACGGCGGGGUGGGCUGAGCUGAGCUGAGCGCGGUCCACCGACGGCGACGGGCGCGCGCGCGCUAGCCGUCGCAGGCCGCCGCUCGUGCGGGCCGGGCGAGCUGCACUGCGGCGUGUGAAAGCGCCCCUUGACCGUGGGGCCUUUCUCCGGGGUUGGUGCGGGAUUUGCUUCCAUCUUUAGCACUCGUUGGCGACGAAGUGCGGUCUCUUUUCGGCUUUGUUUCUUCCUUUCUUGAGCUUUCGGGGUCGGAAAACAGUUUUUGCAGGCGUGUUUCCCGAUCGGCGAAUACGAUCUAUCAGACCAUCAGAGCUGGCAGGAUGUGUGUAAAGGACGGAGAGAACGUGUGCGCCGCAAGGCAAGUGGGACACAGGUUGCACGUAAACGGUGAAUUUUUUGGAGAGGACUGAGCUGCGUUUGUCGUCCAGAAUAUGCAAGGCGACGAACGUGGUUUUACUCUCGGAUCGGUGAAUUAUUAUGAGCACUUGUAUACAUAUAUACUUACUUUUUGCCAUUCAAAGAUCUGUCGAUCAAAGCACUCGAGAUUCACGUCCCGACAGAGGCAAAUGCUAUAAAAAUGAAACCCUUGACCGAGGUUGAUGUCCACUGUGUGCGUAGUUCGGUCCACAAAGCCACCGCGCAAUCAUUUCCAGCUCCACCCAACACGUCAGACGGGCAAAGCUUAUGCACGUGUAAAGAAGACUAUAAUAUGCACACAUUAUACUACUCCGUGUAUAUAGUUAACUCAAUAAAGUACUGUACAGUACGUGUUUAGAUAAGUAUACCGUCAGUGUCACUGGUUUCAACAUACGAACAGUAUACUAUACUCCACUACGGAUACGUGAACCUAUGAUCAUCCCACGCCACGGUUUAACGUUGUCCUCGUCACUUUACCUCUUUCUCCCAUAUUACUACUUCCUCUGUUCCUAAAUACGAGUAUAAGUUUUUAUAGAGAUUCCAUUAUUGACCACAUACGGAUGUAUAUAGAUGACAUCUCUCCAAAGACUUAUAUUUAGGGACGGAGGGAGGGAGGGAGUAGACAUGAUGAUUAGCGUGGAUUCGCGCGCCGCAAAGGACUACAGAAGACAUGAGCCAAAAAAUCUCUGUUAUUUCUUGGUGGGCCGACAAAUGUCGAGACGGAGGAAACGGGAGGUGAAAACCAAGAGCGCCCCAGGUUGCGUGCUGACAUGGUUGCCUGGGGCGCUCGCUUCGAGCGCCGCGUUCCCACGGAGGACCCCGAUAUCGCGGCGCGCGCGAGAUCGACACAGCCCCGACCGGGGGCGGGGCCCACUCCCCUCUCAACGCGCCGUGCAUGUGUCACUCACUCACUCGCUCGGUCCCGAGCUGGCUCUAGAUUUAGACCAGUAGUAGCGCGAGCUGGCCUCAUGCAUGCAUGCAUGCAUGCACGAGUCCGACGCGAGCCUCCGCCUCAUUACUCGGGUCAGGCUACGCUCGCUCGCUUGCCUCACGAACGUUGGCAGCGCUUCAUCUACGUGCCGUGCCGAACAGCAAACGCCAUUAGCGAUCUGGUAGAAUUUCUAGCUCUGCACUCUACUACUCCACCCCACAGUGAAGUGAGCAUGUACUAUACAGGCCUAGGACAAGGCUACCAGCCGGCAGCACUGAAACGGAAGCGCACGGGACGUACUCUAGCAACGAGACGGCGGCCGGAAACCGGGGCCAAAAGAGAGCUAGCUACCGGCUACCGGCCUCGCCUGCCUUGUGUUGUGUUGCGUUGCGUCCGGCCGCUGGUUGGACAGGUCAGGUCAGGCGCAUUAACCUCAGGUCUUAAUAGCCCAUGCCCCACCGCGAGUUAAGGCCGAGCGGCCGUAGGAUGUGAUCUGAUCUGACGUGGCCGGCCGCGCGGUCAAAGCCGGGCGGCCAGCCAGCCCGGUGCCGCAGCCGAGGCCAGAGGUGAUGUCGCGUCAGCCGCGCAGCGCAGCGCAGAGCCGUGGGGGGCCGCGAGCGAGCAAAUGGCCUGAAUGGGUCACGUCACGGGCGCGGACGGGCGGCCGCGACCACGGAGUACAGUGGUACGGCCGUGCGUCGCCUCGCCUCGGUUCGCGGCAUUGGCAGGCGGGCCUGGGGGCCGGACGGAGGAGGGACAGCGAGACGUCACGGGCCAGCGGGGACGUGUGCCCAGCCCCAGCGGGAGGAAAGGGUCAGCGUUCGGCGUGGCAGCGUGGUCCACCUUGUGCCCCGUCCAAGAUUUUCUGCGAGCAACACUGGUCGUCCAAUGGAUGGAUGGCUGUACGAGUUGGAGACCAGUGCGUGUACGUUUAGGAUGGUGGUAGUGAAUCAGCUCAACGUGUUAUAUACUCCCUUCGCUUCCAAAUUAACGCCUCCCCUCCGCUCCCCAACUGAAGCUCCCGGAGCGGAGCGGAGCGGAGGGAGCGCCAGCACAAUUGCAGGGAGCGGCUCGAACCCAGCUCCUCGUGCAGAGCGGAGUUAUGAGUCUGAAGAGCUUCCGAACCGGCAGUAAGAGCAACUUCAACGCGUCAACUCAAAUGGACGGCGUUUUUGUCCGUUUGGGUCGGCCGUCCGCCCUCUUUAAGAUUUGAGUCGGCAGUGCGCCCAAUGGCCGCGACCUAUUUCAUGUCCGCACGUAAAUUUUGAAAAAAGUUCACGACCAUAGAUCAUACCAGCGGCCAUGUCGUCGCCCGAAGUUCAUGCCGGUAUCAUGCCAGCGCCGGCAUACAAUGCCAGCUCCAAAAAAACACCACACAGUUCAGCUGGCACACUUGUCAGCGGCUGGCACACUUGUCAGCGGCCGGCACACAUGCCAGCACACAAAAAGGGGCGGGAGUUCGACCACGCCAUCGCGGCCGUGGUCAUGCCAGCACACUUGCCGGCAUACAAAAAAGGAUGGGGUUCACUGUCAUGGGUCACUCGUCGCCGAACUUGAGCAUGUUGGCAUGCAUCUUCUCGAACCAUGGCCUCUUUCUUGGCGACACGGUGUUGAGAUCCACCUUCAUGAUCUCAACCCCGUCAUCAUGCUAGCGAGAGCCACUUUUUUCGCCUUGGUCUUGGCAUUGGCGGCCUCGACCUCUAGCAUCUUGGUUUGCUUCUCCGCCUCCAUCUUAAGCAUCCUUGUUUGCUUUUCCGCCUCCAUCUCAAACCUCCUCCUUUGGAUCUCCAUGAAGGCGUUCAUUUGCUCUUCUUUGCCUUGCCGGCGCUUCUCCUCCCUUGAGUCCUUCUUGGUCAUCAUGUCCUCCACGGUUGCGAUCAAGGCGUUCGACGCCGCAUCCCGCUUGUCCUCCUUCUUUGACUUGGUCUUCCCCUGCGGCCGUGGCUUCUCGCCCUCCCCAACCUCCUCCACGGCCUUCUUCCCCCCACGCGACAUGAGGGCAGCAUAUUGCGCCUUGAACUUCUCCUCGUCAUUGAUGACCCUCCAACAAUGCGAGAGGUUGAAGGACUUGCCAUCGUGUUGGACCUUGAAUGCCUCCAAAGCUUGGAAUGCCUACAAAUGAAUUGCAUGCAAGCAUAUUGGCAAAUGGAUAUGGAAAUGGACAUGCAAGCAUAAACGGAAUGACCCAAAAGAGGGGCGCUUGCUAGCAUACCAUGUCUUGCAUGCCGAUGCUGCUCACGGGGCUUGCCUUGAUGCUCUCAAGAGUGGCACAAAACUUGUUGCACUCUUGUUCGAUCACCUUCCAACGCUUCGAAAUGGACACACAUCCGCGCGUGCUUUGCAUUUGGUACGGCGGAAACUUCUUGCGCUCAUGGAACUCACGAUGGACAGGAGUCCAAAAGGUUGAUGCCUUUUGUUCGGUACCGGUCUUGGGGUCUUGCCCAAUGUCCCUCCAACACUCGCAAAGGAGGUUGUCCUCGACCACCGUGUAUGUCUUCGUCCACCUGCUCUUGCACUUUGGCUUCCCCCCGGUGGCUUGGUUGGCCAGCUCGUCCUCGAACAAAGGCUCCCCUUCGAUGUCCAACUCAUCCUCUUCCUCGAGUCCGUAGUCCUCCAGAAACUCGUGGUCGAGCGGGAAGCCGUCCAAGUCCAGGGCGACCUGAUCAUGCAUGAAGGCAACCUGAUCUUGAUCAAAGGUGGAUGGCCUGAACAGCCCUCGGCCGUCCUGGCUUUGUGUCUUGUCGGGACCGUAGCCAGCCCUAGCGGUCGUCGCACCACCCUCGAAGAUGAUGUUCUGCAUGUAGUCGUCGUUGUCGGAGGCCGGCAUUCCAUCGAACAGGUUGCGUGCGCCCGGCAGCGCGUCGGCUGGCAUGUGCCGCGCGUGUUUCCUCUCCCCUCCGGAUGACGAGCCACCAGCCACCGGUGUGGCAUCAAGGUCGAUGGGCGCGGGCGUGGAAGGUGCCACCACGCUCACCUCGGGGAGCAUUCCCCGGAGAGUCGGGAGGUUUGCGGGUAGACGUGGAAGUCGGGCAUCGGCUGUGUCGCCAACGCGCGGGGCGACUCAGCCAGCCCCAUCUGAGGAAACGCAGAUGAGCCGGUGCUGGCCGCGGGCACGGCGGCAUUGACGAGGCCGUGCUGGCCAGGGUUUAACCCUAGGUAAAUCAACGCCUCCCUCGUUGCCGCCGCGACGCGGGCGUUGGUGGCCUCCUGCUGCGCGGCGGCGGCGAUGGCGGCCGCCGCGCUAGCUUCGUCCCUUGCAUCCGCCGCGUGCCUCCGUCCCUUUCUCUUCACCGGCUCCCUUGUCCGCUCGUCGGGCGUCAGCUUCUUCUUCGGCUUGGGCACGACGGCGGUCUUGCGGGGGGCGCGAGGUUUGCCUUGGCCGGGGCCGGCCGUGAUGCCGGAUGAGGCAAGGGAGGCGAGGCCGCCGGCGGCAUCGAGGUCGUCGUCCAUGGCGAGCGACGGGAGCGCGCGCGGGCGGGAGGGUUUUGGGGAAAGUGGAGGGAAAUGGUGGAGGCUGCCACCGACUGGCGGGCUAGGGGGAGUAGUUGGCGCGCGUCCGUCUUGUGUCCGCGCCGACGCAAAUGAGGCUAAAAAAUGGGUCAUAAAUGGGUCGUCGGACGGACAAAAAGCGGAUGCGCGUCCGUUUAGGUCGGCGCGUUGGGCCGCCUUUUCGUCUGCCGCAACCCGAACGAACGCGCGCGGACGAAAUGUGUCGCCGCGUUGGAGUUGCUCUAAGUGUUGUUGAUUUAAUACAACUUUAUACGAAAUCAGAUACACUUAAUUUGGAAGUGAGGAAGACCCAACACAAAGCUGGUAAGAUUACUUUUAGUAGUUUUAUUUUUUUCAAAUGUUCAUAUAAAGUUUACGUGCUCUUAAGCAUUGAGGCAAUACUGGCACAUUUCGAACAAUGCAACCCAUAAUAAUCGCAUGGUCGCUUAUCGUGCCCGCUACUAUGGCCUCCCUCGGUGCAAAAGCUAAAUUAAGCACGAGAAAUCACCCACGAGGCAUAGUGAUGCAUUGCAUGACUUUUUUUCGAUAAAGAGUAAUUUUAUUAACUCAUAAUGUAGCAUCAAGUGAAUACAAAGCAUUAUGAGGAACACCCGACCUCUGCAUAAUUAGGAUGCACAUAGCCGAACACCAAAAGUCCGACAACCAGAAGAAACAAAAACCGACAAAUCGACAAUAGUAGAUUCCUAUAGACCGACACUGUGCCUAUGUCGAAUGGUGAGAUGGACCGAUCUGGAGGUUAUAUAUGCUGCCACCCAUGUUGGGUAAAAACCUCCGUAGCCACCUGCUCCAACCGCGUACACACAGCCUUGAACAACGGUUGGACCUGCGCUCAUUGUAGCCUAGACCACGUACGAAGCGAGUAUGUACUACGAAAAAUAGCCUGCAGAAGAGAAGCAUUUUUGUCAUUAAAAACAAAAUCAUUUCUACAUAGCCAAAGCGACCAUAGUAAGGCAUACGCUCCCACCCUCACUAGCGUUUUGAACCUAUUUGAAAUACCGUCCAACCAGUGACCAAAAAUAUUGGCAACACUUGUGGAUGGAUAUAAACUUGACGCUAUUUGGAUGACUGACCAUGUAGAACGUGCAAAGUUGCAUUGAAAAAAGAGGUGUCUGAUUGUCUCAGCAUGAGAAAAAAAACAACACUUCUUACUCCUUUGCCAAUUGCGUCGUGCGAGGUUGUCUUUGGUUAGCACAACUCCCCUAUGAAGAUACCACAUGAAGAUUUUAACUUUUAGUGGUAUCUUCGACCUUGAAAUUUUCUUAUUAUUACUCACCGGCACCUCAGAAUGCGUGAGCGCACGAUACAUAGAGUUUACGGUGAAAGACCCUGAUGUAGUAAGGUUCCAGUGAAAUGCUACCUCUUGAGCACUGCGUUGGUUUUCCCUUGAAGAGGAAAGGGUGAUGCAGUAAAGUAGCGUAUGUAUUUCCCUCGGUUUUUGAGAACCAAGGUAUCAAUCCAGUAGUAUACCACGUGCGAGUCCCACGCACCUACACAAACAAACAAGAACCCCACAACCAACGCGAUAAAGGGGUUGUCAAUCCCUUCACAGUCACUUACGAGAGUGAGAUCUGAUAGAUAUGAUAAGAUAAUAUUUUUGGUAUUUUUAUAAUAAAAAGUAAAUAAAGAUGCAAAGUAAAAUAAACGGCAAUGAAAAUAACUAAGUGUUGGAAGAUUAAUAUGAUGAAAAAUAGACCCGGGGGCCAUAUGUUUCACUAGUGGCUUCUCUCAAGAGCAUAAGUAUUACGGUGGGUAAACGAAUUACUGUUGAGCAAUUGAUAGAAUUGAGCAUAGUUAUGAGAAUAUCUAGGUAUGAUCAUGUAUAUAGGCAUCACGUCCGCGACAAGUAGACCGAAACAAUUCUGCAUCUACUACUAUUACUCCACACAUCGACCGCUAUCCAGCAUGCAUCUAGAGUAUUAAGUUCAUAAGAACAGAGUAAUGCUUUAAGUAAGAUGACAUGAUGUAGAGGGAUAAACUCAUGCAAUAUGAUAUAAACCCCAUCAUUUUAUCCUCGAUGGCAACAAAACAAUACGUGCCUUGCUGCCCCUGCUGUCACUGGGAAAGGACACCGCAAGAUUGAACCCGAAGCUAAGCACUUCUCCCAUUGCAAGAAAGAUCAAUCUAGUAGGCCAAACCAAACUGAUAAUUCGAAGAGACUUGCAAAGAUAACCAAUCAUACAUAAAAGAAUUCAGAGGAGAUUCAAAUAUUAUUCAUAGAUAAACUUAAUCAUAAACCCACAAUUCAUCGGAUCUCGACAAACACACCGCAAAAGAAGAUUACAUCGAAUAGAUCUCCAAGAAGAUCGAGGAGAACAUGGUAUUGAGAUCCAAAAAGAGAGAAGAAGCCAUCUAGCUAAUAACUAUGGACCCGAAAGUCUGAGGUAAACUACUCACACAUCAUCGGAGGGGCUAUGGUGUUGAUGUAGAAGCUGUCCGUGAUCAAUGCCCCCUCCGGCGGAGCGCCGGAAAAGGCCCCAAGAUGGGAUCUCACGGGUACAGAAGGUUGCGGCGGUGGAAAUAGGGUUUUGGCUCCUGUUCUGAUGUUUCCAGGGUAUAUGGGUAUAUAUAGGAGGAAGAAGUACGUCGGUGGAGCAACGAGGGGCCCACGAGGGUGGAGGGCGCGCCCAGGGGGGUAGGCGCGCCCCCUACCUCGUGCCUUCCUCGUUCGUUGCUUUGCGUAGACUCCAAGUCCUCUAGAUCACGUUCGUUCCGAAAAUCACGUUCCCGAAGGUUUCAUUCCGUUUGGACUCCGUUUGAUAUUCCUUUCCUUCGAAACACUGAAAUAGGCAAAAAACAACAAUCUGGGUUGGGCCUCCGGUUAAUAGGUUAGUCCCAAAAAUAAUAUAAAAGUGUAUAAUAAAGCCCAAUAAUCAUCUAAAACAGAAUAUAAUAUAGCAUGGAACAGUAAAAAAGUAUAGAUACGUUGGAGACGUAUCAUGAAACACAUCCCGGCCUUGUGUCAGGCUAAUCGCAUCCAGACGGGACAAAAGAUUAUGCCAUGACAUAAGUUGGGGGCCAGUUGAAUCCCGCCUGAACGAAAUAUUCGGGGAGGGGGGGGGGAUGAACUGAGCACCUGCGCAAUAGUAUUAUUCUUAUCGCGAGCAAUGUUGUACAAGGCUGGAUAUUGUUCUCGGAGAUUGACAUCACCUAGCCAGAUGUCUUCCCAAAAACGAAUCUCCGACCCGUCCUUUAUCACGAAAGACCCAAAGCAAAAGAGUUGUUUCUUUACCGCCAUUAGGUCAGCCCAAAAGUGUGAGUCGCCAGGUUUCCAAUAUGCAUGGGACACUACCUUUUGGCCUAGAUACUUUUUGGGCAGUAUGGUUUGUCAAACACCAUCCUCAGUAAGAAGUUUGAACAACCAUUUACUAAGGGGAGCCUCAUUCUUGACCUGCAGGUCAUGAAUUCCAAGGCCACCUUGGUCUUUCGGCCUACAAACCACGCUCCACUUGCUAGUCUGUAUUUUCUCUUUUCCCCAUCUCCUUGCCAAAAAAAUCUGAAUCUAAAAUAGUCCAGUCUUUGCAGGACCCCUUUUGGGAGUUAAAAGAAAGAAAGCAUAUAGAGAACCAUAUUUGUGAGGACGGAGUUAAUCAAAACCAGCCGUCCUCCAACAAAGAGCAGCUUGCCUUUCCAGCUGCUCAAUCGUUUCUCUAGCCACUCCUCUACAUGUUUCCACUCUGCAAUGGUGAGACGCCGAUAGUGAAUCGGUAUUCCCAGAUAUUUUAUCGGGAAAUGGCCAUGUGCACAACCAAAUAGGUCAGCAUAAUCUGCCGCCGCCUCAAUGGCUUCUCCAAAGCAGAAAAGUUCGCUUUUAUGGAAGUUAAUUUUAAGACCCAACAUUUGCUCAAACCCUGAAAGCAAGAGUUUCAGGUUUCGAGCCUUUUCCAGGUCAUGUUCCAUAAAAAUGACUGUGUCAUCGGCAUAUUGCCGAAUAGAGAGGCCACCAUCCACAAGGUGUGGCACUACUCCUGCAAUAUGUCUGUCCUACUUGGCGCGCUCAAUCAGAAUGGCCAACAUGUCAGCAACAAUGUUAAAUAACAUUGGGGACAUGGAGUCACCUUGUCGUAGUCCUUUUUUUGUCUGAAAGUAAUGGCCUACAUUAUCAUUGAUUUUGAUGGUCACGCUACCUCCAGUUACAAUUUUUUUGAUCCAUUAACGCCAUUUAUUGGAGAAACCUUUCAUCCUUAAGGCCUGUUGGAGGAAAGACCAUUUAACCUCAUCAUAGGCUUUUUCAAAGUCAAUUUUGAAUACUACUCCACUCAUGUUUUUUCAGUUUAUCUCAUGAAUGGUCUCAUGCAGGAUUACUACGCCAUCGAGUAUAUUCCUUCCUCGCAUGAACGUCGUUUGAGAUGGCCGGACAACAUGGUCAGCUAUCGAGUUUAACCUAUCCGUAGCUACUUUGGUGAAAAUCUUGAAGCUGACAUUAAGUAGGCAUAUGGGUAUAUAUUGUUGGAUCCGCUCAGCCUCCUUAAUCUUCGGUAACAAAACAAUCUCACCAAAAUUCAGCUUGAAUAGGUCAAGUCGGUCGACAUGAAGACAAUUGAACAACUCCAAAAGGUUAGACUUGAUGAUAUCCCAGAAAUUCUGAUAGAAUUUUGCGGCGAAGCCAUCUGGUCCCGGAGCUUUGUUAUGUUCCAUUUGGAACACCGCUGCUCUCACCUCCUCUUUUGAGAAAGGUGCCGUGAGGAAGUCAUUCUCUUCUGCCGUGACUUGAGGAAUAUCAUAUGUUCGGUUCUCGUCAAGGGUGAAAUUCCCUUCAUAUGGCGGCCCGAACAGAGAUUUGUAGUAGAUGGUGGUAUACCUUUUGAGCUCCUCAUGACCUUCAAUCCGCCAUUCAACUUGUUGGAGACUAUAAAUAUGUUUCUUCCUAUGUCGACCAUUGGCGACCAAUUGGAAGUAUCUUGUAUUACUAUCUCCCAUCAAGAUGAAAUUGGCUUUGGAUCUUUGCUAAUAUUUGAUUUCCUCUUCUCGCAAAAGACGUGCAACCUUCUCAUUGGAUUGAUUUUUUAAAUCAAUCUCUUGUUGAGAUAAGAUGCGCGUCUCUGCAAUUUUAUCGAGGUCAUCAAUAAUGGUAGAGAGGCGCUAUUUUUCUUUUUUAUACAUCCCAUUGGCGUGUUUCGCCCAUCCAGAGAGGUGUCGCCUCAUGGCCCUUAUUUUAAAGUUCCAUUUCUAAAUGUGUGUAUGACCAAAAGCGGGCUUCUCCCAAAUGUUCUUGACUAUGUCUACAAAACCUUCCCGAUGCAACCAUCCCAAUUCAAACUUGAAAGGGCGACGGGCCAAUGUGUUCAUACAGUUAGAGUCAAGAAUGAUUGGCGCAUGAUUCGAUAGUGCCCCGAUACGCUCUAGGGCUCAAACGGUUACCAAAGGAAAUUUUUGCUCCCAUUCGGUAUCCACGAGUACCCUAUCGAGCUUCUCGUAUGUCGGCACAAAAUGGUUAUUAGCCCAAGUGAAUUGCCGUCCCGACAUACUAACCCCGCAAAGAUCCAAACUGUCAAUCAUAGCAUUGAAUAGGAACGGCCAGGGAGUAUCGAAGCGAUCAUUAUUUUCCUCUACCUGGUACCUAAGGAUAUUGAAAUCCCCUCCAAUAAGCAUUGGGUACGGGUUAUCCUUAGCCAGGUUCACCAAUUCCCGAAGGAAAGCGGAUUUAUGCUCAUCUUGGGCAGCCCCAUAGACUGCGACCAGGCUCCAUGCAAAAUUAUCUGCUCUGUUUCGUAGGUGAAAUUUGAUAUGAAAUUCACCUAACGAAAAAGCCAAUAAAUCCAUGGUUGUGGUCUGAAUCCCAAGAAGGAUUCCUCCAGACCUUCCACGUGCUGGUAAACUAUGACACGAGUAGUCGAAACCACCGGAUAGGUGGUCGAGGACAUGCAGGCGGAAGUCACCUUUACCAGCCUCAGAAAUCGCCACAAAGUCCAACCCAUGUUCAUGCACAGUCACCGACAUGUUUAUGCUUAGCCAAGUCUGAAAGACCUCUGCUAUGCCAAAACAUGCCUCUCAUGUGGAAACUCGAAUCGGUGUGGAAAUCUUUGCCUUCUUGGGCGUUUUUUGUUUCUUUUUCGAGGAAAGUGGUUUAGAUUUACGCAAAGUCGUUGUGAAGUCACAAAACAUGGCCCAGGUCUUGCAUCAUCCAAUCCAACCUCGGUAACAUCACCAACCAAGUGGGAGAUAAGCGGACCAUCAUAUGUGGCAUUAGGACGGCAGGGUAAUACGUAUACAGGUAGGUAUGAUGGACUCAUCAGGAAUAACUUUGGGUUCAAGGUUUUUGAUGUACAAGCAGAAUUCCCACUUAGUACAGGCGAAGGCUAGCAAUUAAGAUUGAGAAGCGGCCAGCUAGAGAGCAACAACGAUCAUAACCAGGCAUUAUGCAUAAGUAACAUUGGACACUAGCAUGAGUAGGAUAUGAACACCAUGAACAUAAAUAUUAUAGAGGCUAUGUUGGUUUUGAUUCAACUACAUGCAUGAACAUGUACCAAGUCAAGACACUCGAACAUUCAGAGGAGGAUACCAUAUCAUCAUACUAUAUCACAAUCAUUUUAACGCUAUGUUGAUAUCCAAGAUAAAUCAUUAUCAACUCCCAGCUACUUAUGCAUGGCAUGAGAAACUAUAAUCUCUAAUAGUCAUUGCAAACAUGUUUAAUCAUAAUGGGCUGAAGCCUGGAUACUAGGUUAAACAUAUUUACACAAACAGAACAAGUCGAGUUCAUACCUGUUUCUCUUUGCCACAGCCAGCUCAUCGAAUAUCAUCAUUAUUGCCUUUCACUUGCACGACCGAAUAACAUGAAAAUAAUAAUAGUGCAAGAGUGCCAUGGACUAAGCUGGAAUGUGCAAACAUUUUAUUCAACAGGAGAAGACAAGGUAAAAUGUGCUCUUAUUAGUUCAACAGUUAUUCAUAUGAGAGCCACUCAACAUUUUCAUAUGAGAGCCACCCAACAUUCUCCUCGGUAAAGCUUGAAUAAAAGGAAAAGAAAUUCAGAGAAACACACUGAAAUAUUUUUGGAGUUUUUGGUUUUCUUAAACAAGCAAAAACAAGGAAAAAGCAAAAACGAGAAAAACUAUUUACACGGGAAAGCUCCCAACAAGCAAAAGAAGAACAAGGAAAUCUUUUUGUGUUUUCUUUCUAGUGCUACUACUAAGCAUGCAUAGAAAGUAAAUUACUACAACUAAAUUUUUUGGUUUUUCUAAAGUUUUUCAAACACACAAGAAGAAAGCAAGAAAAUAAAUCUAGGCAUGGAUGAUACAAUGAAAAAGUGUGAACACCGACAGAUAGAAUGAUAUGUGAACAUGAAUAUAAUGUCGGUGAGAAACACAUACUCCCCCAAGCUUAGGCUUUUGGCCUAGCUUGGUAGUCGAUCAGUAGCCUGGAGGAUAGUAGUCGGCGUGGUAGCUCACGGAGGCUCUCGGUGCGGAGGCCUCAGCACGCCGUGCCGCCAACACUGCUGCAUUGUGAGCUCGAGCCUCGCUCUCAAGAACAAAAUAUCUUUCCUUGCUGUGAUAAUCAAAGAGAGCAGGCGCAGGCAGAUAUGUGUCCACAACAUGUGAUUGGUUAAACAACAAAUUAUAAGUGAAGUUAUCAGCCCUUCCCGCGAGAAUCUUAUGCUCUUUUAGAGUAUCAAAAUCUAAAUACUGAGUGGGUAGUAUAGGAUGAAAAGGCAAAGGUGAAACACUCAACCCUCGUGCUAAACGCGUGGCAUAUAUUCCACCAUAGAACCAGCCACUUUUGGCGUUAUGCUGAAGUCUACGUGCAACAAUCGCUCCAAGGUUAUAAUUCCUUUCACGAGUGAGAGCGGUGUGAAUGAGGCUCAAGUCUGGCGCACAAAGUAUGCUACAGUCUUGCUUGCCUGCUAUGCAUUUCCCGUUAAAUAAUGCAAAUUACUGAAUUGCAGGAAAGUGAAUGCUCUUUAUUCUUCCUUGUCUCACUCCCCUAUUUUCACCGUAACAAAGGCUAGUCAAGAAAGACUCAUACUCAGCCUUUGCUGGAUCGUCAAGCGAACCCCAAAACGGGAGCUUGCAGUGGUAAGCAAAGUUCUCUAGUGAUAUGGUAUAUGGAUUAUCAUAAAGCAUAAACGACACCCUAGACUCACGUGGAAAAUAUUUUAAUUCUUUGACAAAUGAUUCAGUGAGAAGAUGGCGCUGUUCACACUUAUCUGAGAGGUAGGGAACGAGACCGGUAUUGUGAACAUAUUGCUCAAAUUCCUCCUUGAUGCCCACUUGCAUCAUAUACUCAUCGCAAGGCCAUAAGCAAGUUUUGGUGGCGGCAUCCCGCGUGGAACUUUCACUUGGUUCAACAUAAGACCGGCGAGCAGAACUGUCACUAGAAGAUGCCCCCGAGGAUCGCCUCCUCGAAGAACUCCUUCCAAACAAGUUCAUAAUGACCGCAUACAAUUUUCUGAAAAAUAUUUUUUUUUGAGGUGACAAAAAUUUGUCAACAAAACUUCGCAAAACUAAUAGCAACUACUCAUAAGGAUACAUAGAGUCCAUAGAAAGUAUUCAAACUACUUAGAACACUAAGAAUUCAACAUGCAAGCACAUCUAUAGCAGCACCAAGAGUAGCUAAUUAUUCAAAGUAUAAACCAUUAAAACAAAACUAAUUGGACAAAUGGUGGAGUCACAUACCAAGCAACAAUCCCCCGAAACAGUUUAAAAAACGGAGCUUCGAGCAAAGUGAUCGAAAUCCGUGGGUUUGAGCUCAAGAACACGGGAGAGAGAGCAAUGGAGAUUUUUUCUGGAGGUAAGUGAUGAUGUGGGAUGAAGAGGUAAGUGAGGGGGCCCACGUGGGGACCACAACCCACCAGGGCACGCCUGGGGGUCCUGGCGUGCCCAGUUGGGUUGUGCCCACUUGGUGCACCUCCCUCUGGUAUUAUUUGCACCAAAAAUUCUUAAAUAUUCAGAAAAAAAUCAUAUAAAUUUUUUAGGGCAUUCUGAGAACUUUUAUUUUUGGGGCAUUUUUUUAUUGCACGGGAAAUUCAGAAAAAAAGACAAAUCAUGGCAUUUUAUUUUAUUCAACUAAUAAAAACAUAAAACAAAAAGUAAAGACAGAAGGUAGUGCUUACUAAAUUCAUCAACUUCAUACCGCUCAAAAAUGAUUCAUUAAUAAGGUUGAUCAGGUCUUAUUAACAACCACUUUCGAUUAGCAUGAAACCGAAGAACUUUUGUAAAUCACUAAGUUACCUCAAUGGGGAUAUGCAUCUACCCAACAAUAAGCAUUUCAUAUUUCUUUUUGACAGUAGGUAAAGGUAUUUGAAAACUUCCAAUAGUGAUUGUCGGAGAUUUUUCAAUAACAUUAAUACCAUUCACUUGGAAUUGUUUCUUCGGAAAGUGCACCGUAUGCUCAUUACCAUUAAUAUGAAAAGUGACAUUGCUUUUAUUGCAAUCAAUAACAGCCCCUGCAGUAUUCAAGAAGGGUCUACCAAGGAUAAUCGACAUGUUGUCGUCCUCGGGCAUCUCAAGUAUAAGAAAGUCAGUCAAAAUAGUAACAUUAGCAACAACAACGGGCACAUCCUCACAGAUACCGAUAGGUAUGGCUGUUGACUUGUCAGCCAUUUGCAAAGAUAUUUCAGUAGGUGUGAGUUUAUUCAAGUCAAGUCUUUCAUAUAAAGAGAAAGGCAUAACACUAACACCAGCUCCUAAAUCACACAAAGAAGUUUUCACAUAAUUCUUUUUGAUAGAGCAGGGUAUAGUUGGUAUACCCGGAUCUCCUAGUUUUUGAGGCACUCCAUCUUUGAAAGUAUAAUUAGCAAGCAUAGUGGAGAUUUCAGCUUCUGGUAUUUUUCUCUUAUUAGUGAUGAUGUCUUUCAUAUACUUUGCAUAAUGGGGGCAUUUUCAAGAUAUCAGUCAAGCGAGUACGCAAAAAGACUGGCCUCAGCAUUUCAGCAAAGCGUUCAAAUUCUUCAUCAUCAUUCUUUUUAGUUGAUUUGGGUGGAAAAGGCAUAGGUUUUUGAACCCACGGUUCUCUUUCUUUACCGUGUUUUCUAGCAAUGAAGUCUCUUUUACCAUACUUUUUAUUUUUAGGUUGUGGGUUAUCAAGAUCAACAGGUGGUUCUAUCUCAACCUCAUUAUCUGGUUCUUUAUCAUUUGGUUGGGCAUCUUCAUGAACAUCACCUUUAUCUUUUUCAUUAUCACUAGUUGGAUGUUCAUUACAAGAUUGAGUUUCAGCAUCUAAGAUAGAAAUUUCAUUUUCAUUAUCAGGAGGUUUCUCUAUUUCAGGUUCACUAGAAGCAUGCAAAGUCCUAUCAUUUUUCUUCUUCUUUUUCUUAUUAGAAGGACUAGGAGCACUAGUGUUAUUUCUUUGGGAGUCUUGUAUAAUUCUUUUUGGGUGUCCCUCAGGAUAAAGUGGUUCCCGAGUCAUUUUACCUCCUCUAGUUGCAACUCUAACAACAAAGUCAUGCAUAUUAUGAUUCAUUUCAUCAAGCAAUUCUGUUUGAGAUUUAGCAACUUGUUCUAACUGGGUUUGAACCAUAUAAGCAUGUUUUCCGACACCUCUAACAUCAUUUGAUAUUCUAAAUAACAAGUCACUCAAGCGAGCAAUCAUAUCCGAAUUAUAUUUCAAUUGUUUCAUAACAUUUGCAUUGAAGUGAUCUUGUUUUCUAAUGUAGUUUUCAAACUCAUAAAGGCAUUGACUAGGAUGCAUAUUAUGAGGAUCAUCAUUAUCAUUGAACUUCAUAAGAGAAUUUACCUCUACCACCUUAGGCAGUGGUGGUGUAUUAAGCCCAUGUAUUUCUUCAAUAGGAGGUAAAUUUUUAACAUCCUCAGCUUUAAUACCUUUUUCCUUCAUGGAUUUCUUUGCCUCUUGCAUAUCCUCAGGACUGAGAUAUAAUAUACCCCUUUUCUUUGGAGUGGGUUUAGGCGAUGGUUCAGGAAGAGUCCAAUCAUCAUAAUUUUUCAAUAUAUUAUUCAAUAAUUCCUCAGCUUGAGCAAUAGUUCGUUCCCUGAAAACACAACCAGCACAACUAUCUAGGAAGUCCCUAGAAGCAUCGGUUAGUCCAUUAUAGAAGAUAUCAAGUAUUUCAUUUUUCUUAAGAGGGUGAUCAGGCAAAGCAUUAAGUAACUGGCAAAGCCUCCCCCAAGCUUGUGGGAGACUCUCUUCUUUAGUUUGCACAAAGUUAAAUAUUUCCUGUAAGGCAGCUUGUUUUUUAUGAGCAGGAAAAUAUUUUUCAGAGAAGUAAUAAAUCAUAUCCUGGGGACUACGCACACAACCAGGAGUAAGAGUAUUGUACCAAGCUUUGGCAUCACCCUUUAAUGAGAAAGGAAAUAAUUUGAGAAUAACGUAAUAGCGAGUUUUCUCAUCGUGAGUAAAAAGGGUGGCUAUAUCAUUCAAGUUAGUAAGAUGUGCCACAACAGUUUCAGUUUCAUAACCAUGGAAAGGAUCAAAUUCAACCAAAGUAAUCAACUCUGGGUCGACAGAGAAUUCAUAAUCCUUAUCAUCAAUAAAGAUAGGUGAAGUAGCAAACUUAGGAUCACAUUUUGUUCUAGCAUUCAGAGAUUUUUCUUUAUACUUGCAUAAUAAUUUCUCUAGAUCAUCUCUAUCAUUGCAAGCAAGAAUUUCCCUAGUUGUUUCUUCAGUCAUAACAUAAACUUCCGGUACCUUAGGCAAUUCAUAUCUAGGAAGGCUAGUUCUAGCAGGUGUUUCAGGAGUUCGAGUUUCAAGUUCAUCAUCAGAUUCAACAACAUCAUGUUGUAUUACUCUAGCAAUUUGUUCAUCAAGAAAUUCACCAAGUGGCACAUCAUCAUUAUCAAGCAAAGUAGUAGCAUCAUCAUAAGCAUUAUCCAUAGCAGAAGUAGCAUCAUCAAUAACUUGUGACAUAUUAGAAUUCAUAGCAUGUGGUGGUGUUGCAAGUUUACUCAUAACAGAAGGUGAAUCUAAAGCAGAACUGGAUGGCAGUUCCUUACCUCCCCUCGUCUUAGAGGGAUAAAUCUUAGUCUUCAGAUCCUUCAGAUUCUUCAUAGUGAUAAUAUGAUAAUAAUCCCAAGUGACUCAACAAAUAUUUCUAUGCUCCCCGGCAACGACGCCAGAAAAAGGUCUUGAUAACCCACAAGUAUAGGGGAUCGCAACAGUUUUCGAGGGUAGAGUAUUCAACCCAAAUUUAUAGAUUCGACACGAGGGGAGCCAAAGAAUAUUUGAAGGUAUUAGCAGCUGAGUUGUCAAUCCAACCACACCUGGAGAUUAAUUAUCUGCAGCAAAGUGAUCAGUAGCAAAGUAGUUUGAUAGUUUUGAUAGUAGUGGCAGCAGCAAUGAUAACAGUAACAGUGAUAGCAGUAAUUUGUAGCAAGUGUAAUAGUGAUGAUAGCAAUAGUAACGCAGCAAGAUCAAUAUAAAUAAAUUUGUAGGCAUUGGAUCGGUGACUUGUUGGAUGAUAUUCAUCAUGUGACAGUUAUAACCUAGGGCGAUACAACACUAGCUCCAGUUCAUCGAUAUAAUGUAGGCAUGUAUUCCAUAAAUAGUCAUACGUGCUUUAUUAAAAGAACUUGCAUGACAUCUUUUGUCCUACCCUCCCGUGGCAGCGGGGUCCAUAUUGGAAACUAAGGGAUAUUAUGGCCUCCUUUUAAUAAAGAACCAGAACAAAGCAUUAACACAUAGUGAAUACAUGAACUCCUCAAACUAGGGUCAUCACCGGGAGUGGACCCGGUUGUUGUGACUCCGGGAUUGCCGGAUCAUAACACGUAGUAGGUGACUAUAACUUGCAAGAUCGGAUCUAAGACAUGGAUACAAUGAUGAAUUCAUAAACGGUUCAGAUCUGAGUUCAUGGCACACGGGCCCAAAGUGACAAGCAUUAAGCAUAGCAAACUCAUAGCAACAUCAAUCUAAGAACAUAGUGGAUACUAGGGAUCAGGCCCUAACAAAACUAACUCGAUUACAUGAUGAAUCUCAUCCAACUCCUCACCGACCAGCGAGCCUACGAAGGAAUUACUCACUCCCGAUGGGGAGCAUCAUGGAAUUGGCGAUGGAGAUUGGUUGGUGAUGACGAAGAACGAAGAUCCCCCUCUCCGGAGCCCCAAACGGACUCCAGAUCUGCCCUCACGAGGAAGAACAUGGCUUGGCGGCGGCUCCGUCUCGUGGAACUCGAUAAUUCUUUCUCCUUAUUUUUUUUCUUCAAUAAUGUGAAUUUAUAGUAUCAGGGGGUCGUCAGCGGGGCCACCAGGUGGGUACAACCCACCUGGGCGCGCCAGGAGAGGGGGGUGCUCCCUGGUGGGUUGUGCCCACCCAGGGCCCCUCUCCGGUGGUUGUUGGCUCCAAAAAUCUUCUUUUAUUCCAUAAGAAAUCCUCGCAAAGUUUCACUUUAUUCCGAGAACUUUUAUUUCUGCACAAAAACAACACCAUGGUAGUUCUGCUGAAAACAGCGUCAGUCAGGAGUUAGUUUCAUUCAAAUCAUGCAAAUUAGAGUCCAAAACAAGAGGAAAAGUGUGAGAAAAAGUAGAUACGUUGGAGACGUAUCACGGCGCAUUGCCUUUGACAAAGAAUGCUCAUCAGUUGGAGAAGAACCAUCAACGGAGACGGCGUGACGGCUACUACGUCGAAGGGGCGAAGCCAACCCUCCAGAGUCAUCGAUUGAGCUGUAGUUCUCUUUGAAAUUGGCGGAGGCGUGGCAGCCCCUGAGGUUCGUGAAGAGGGAUGUGCCACCGGUCCCAUCGGAACGGUUGCGACGGGUGCAGUAGCAGAUGUCGUGUGACGUGCAGCUGGAUGAUACGUCUCCAACGUAUCUAUAAUUUUUGAUUGUUCCAUGCUGUUAUAUUAUCAUUCUUGGAUGUUUUAUAAUCAUUUUAUAGUCAUUUUAUAUCAUUUUUGGUACUAACCUAUUGACAUAGUGCCAAGUGCCAGUUGCUGUUUUUGCAUGGUUUUUACAUCGCAGGAAAUCAUUAUCGAACGGAGUCCAAACACCGCGAAACUUUUGGGAGAAUUUUUAUGGACCAGAACACCCAGGAUGGGCCAGAGCAGCACUUGGGGGUGCCCCGAGGGGGGCACAACCCACCAGGGCGCGCCUGGGCCCCCAGGCACGCCCAUGUGGGUUGUGCCCACCUCGGUGGCCUCCCGCACCCCCUCUUUUCCCUAUAAAAUCCCAAAUAUUCCAAAACCCUUAGGGUAGCCCUAGAUCAGAAGUUCCGCCGCUGCAAGGCCUCUGUAUCCACAAGAUCCAAUCUAGACCCCGUUCCGGCACCCUGCCGGAGGGGGGGAUCAUCUCCGGUGGCCAUCUUCAUCAUCCCGGCGGCCACCACGAUGAGGAGGGAGUAGUCCACCCACGGGGCUGAGGGUUUGUACCGGCAGCUAUGCGUUUAAUCUCUCUCUCUCUCUCUCUCUCGUGUUCUUGAGAUGUCACGAUCUUGAUGUAUCGCGGGCUUUGUUAAUGUAGUUGGAUCAUAUGGUGUUUUCCCCUCUCUAUCUUGUUGUGAUGAAUUGAGUUUUCCCUUUGAGAUUUCGUUGUUAUCGGAUUGAAUAAUUUUAUGGAUUUGAGAACGCUUGAUAUAUGUCUUGCAAUUGAAUACUCGUGGUGACAAUGGGGUAUCGUAUUGAUUCACUCGAUAUAUGUUUUGGCACUCAACUCGCGGAUUCCCUAGGUGACAUUGGGGUAAUCUAUGCAUAGGGGUUGAUGCACGUUCUUGUCUUUGUUUCUCUGGUAGAAAUCUUGGGGCACUCUUUGAAGUUCUUUGUGUUGGAUUGAGUAUUAUGAAUAUGAAUUUGCUUUGGUGUUAUUUUAGUACGAACUCUAGGAUAGAUCGAACGGAAAGAAUAGCUUUGUGUUAUUUUAGUACGAACUCUUGAAUAGAUCGAACCUAAAGAAUAGCUUUGAGGUGGUUUCAUACCCUACAAACAAUUUAUACUUAUGUUCUCCGCUAGAUAGGAACUUUGGAGUGAUUCUUCAUCGCACUUUGAGGGGUGGUUAUAUGAUCCAAUUAUAUUAGCAUUGCUGAGAGGUUGCACUAGUGAAAGUACGGACCCUAGGCCUCAUUUUCAAGCAUUGCAAUACCUUUUUUGUGCCCGUUUACUAUUUGUUACCUUGCCAUUUUUAUUUAUUCAGAUUAUAAAAAAUAUUUUUACCAUCAAUAUUACACUUUUAUCACCAUCUCUUCGCCGAACUAGUGCACCUAUACAAUUUGCCAUUGUAUUGGGUGUGUUGGGGACACAAGAGAUUUCUUGUAUUUGGUUGCACGGUUGUUUGAGAGAGACCAUCUUCAUCCUACACCUCCCACAGAUUGAUAAACCUUAGGUCAUCCACUUGAGGGAAAAUUUCUACUGUCCUACAAAACUCUGCGCUUGGAGGCCCAACAUGAGUCUACAAGAAUAAAGUUGCGUAGUAGACAUCAGGCUCUUUUCUGGCGCCGUUGCCGGGGAGGUGAGUGCAUGAAGGUAUAUCUUUAGAUCUUGCAAUUGAAUCUUUUAGUUUCUUGUUUUAUCACUAGUUUGGUUUAUAAAAACAAAACUACAAAAAAUGGAAUUGAGGUUGCAUCAUAUUAUUAAUUAUCUUUAUAAUAUCUUUCUUGAAAAUGAUGGAUCGGAAAAUUGUGCUCGAUUGUUAGAAGAAGAAGUCAAUAAAAUGUUUGGCACAAAAUAUUUGAAUGAUGAGCAUGAUUGCAAUGUUGUUGGUAUGAAUUCUUUGAAUAUCCAUGAUGCUAAUGAUAUGCAAAGCUACAAGCUUGGGGAUGCUAUAUUUGAUGAAGAUGAUAUUUUUACUCCCCCAAGUUUUGAUGAGAAAAUUUAUUAUGAUGAUUGCAAGCCUCCUAUUUAUGAUGAUUAUAUUGAUGAAAGUGGAUUUGGAGAGGUCAUGACUUUAUUUAAUGAUGAGUCCACUAUUUUGGAAGAGGUUUUGAUUGAUUUUGACAAUGAAGUUGCUAUCUAUGAUGAUUAUGGUGAUGACAUGUAUGCUAUAAAGAAUAAUGAUAACCAUGAAACUUGUCGUCAUGAUUUUAAUUUUCAAUCACAUGAUAGUUAUUUUGUUGAGUUUGCUCCCACUACUAUUGAUGAGAAUAAAUUUGCUUAUGUGGAGAGUAACAAAAUUUCUAUGCUUAUGUAUCAUGAAAAGAAUGCUUUAUGUGAUAGUUAUAUCGUUGAAUUCAUUCAUGAUGCUACUGAAAAUUAUUAUGAGGGAGGAACUUAUGCUUGUAGGAAUUGCAAUAAUAUCAAGUUUCCUCUCUAUGUGUUGAAAGUUUCAAAGUUAUGCUUGUUUUGCCUUUCUAUGCUAGUUUAUUCUUGCUCCCAUAAAUUAUUUGCUCACAAAAUCCCUAUGCAUAGGAAGUGGGUUAGACUUAAAAGUGCUAGUCAUAUGAUUCAUGAUGCUCUCUGAUGUUUCAGUUCUUAUCUUUUAUGCGAGCAUCAUUGAACUCAUCAUGCCUAGCUAAAAGGCAUUAAACAAAAGCGCUUGUUGGGAGACAACCCAACACUUUUACCUACUGUUUUUGUGUGUUCACAUGAUUAUGCUACUGUAGUAAUCAUGUUUUAUUGCUUUGGUUUCAAUAAAGUGCCAAGUAAAGCCUUUGGGAUAGUGUGGAUGAUAGUUGAUUUGAUUCUGUCCAAAAACAGAACAGGAAUUUUGAAAAUUCACUGGAACGUGAUUUUGAUCUGAAUUUUUUAAAGGUGAUAGAUGUACAAAUUCUCUAUGUUGUCCUAAUUUUUUGGAAUUUUUGGAGUAGCAGAAGUAUGGCUGGAGUACAGAUUACUACAGACUGUUCUGUUUGAUAGAUUCUGUUUCCAAUGCAUAGUCUGCUUGUUUUCUAGUUUGUAUGGCUUAUAUUGCGCAAUAUAAAUUGUGGAAAUGAUAUGCUACAGUAGGCAUUGCGUGGAAACAAUUAUGAAUCUUGUCUUUGACAGUAUCAAAGUGAAAUGGUUUGCUCUUUAUCAUACUAACCUAUCUCACGAAGUUUCGUUAAGUUUUGUGUGAUUGAAGUUUUCAAGUUUUGGGUGAGAUGUCGAUAUGAGGAGAAUAAGGGGUGAAAAUACCCUAAGCUUGGGGAUGCCCAAGGCACCCCAAGGUAAUAUUCAAGGAAGAUCCAAGCAACUAAGCUUGGGUAUGCCCCGGAAGGCAUCCCCUCUUUCGUCUCCAACAUUAUCGUCAACCUCACCUGGAGCUACAUUUUUAUUCGUCACAUGAUAUGUUUGUUCCUUGGAGCAUCAUUUUCUUUUGUUAGGAUUUGCUUGUUGUUAUUUAGAAUAAUGUUUUGCAUCUUUUAUUUCAAUAAAAAUGUCAAGGAUAGCCUUUACCAUGCUUAUUUUGCAAGUCUACAUGUUGCUGUUUCAAAACAGAAAGUUUAUCGCUGUUGCAAAAAUUCCCGAGGAAACUCAGAAUGUGAUAAAAUGUUGAAACUUUUUGCACAGUAAGCUCUGAUAAAUUUUCUACAGUGUGGUAAAUUUUCAUAAUUUUUGGAGUUAGGGAAGUAUGAUGAAUCUUGCAUUCUUUACAGACUGUACUGUUUUGGCAGAUUGCUGUUAUGGUUGCAUUGUUUGCAUAUGUUUGCUUGGUUAAUGAUUCUAUUUGAGGAUAGGAGUAUUCAAUAUGCAGAGUCAUUUAGUAUGCAAUGUUGAAUAAUAAUUUUUGUGAUUUUCUACAGUAGAGAAUGAUAAGGUUUUGCAUUGGUUUAUACUAACUUAUCUCACGAGUUCUUGUUGAGUUUUGUGUGGAUGAAGUUUUUAAGAUUUAGAGAAACCGUGAUAUAAAAGGAAUUAAGGAGAUGCGAAAGCUCAAGCUUGGGGAUGCCCAAGGCACCCCAAGUUAAUAUUACAAUAAGUCUCAAGCAUCUAAGCUUGGGGAUGCCCCGGUAGGCAUCCCACCUUUCUUCUUCAACAAUUAUCGGUUAGUAUCGGUUGAGCCUAAAUUUUUGCUUCUUCACAUGAUAUGUGCUAUCCUUGAAAUGCCAUUUUAUUUUGUUUUCCUUGCUGUUUAAAAAAAUACUUAGAACUAAAAGUUUUUAAAUAAAAUAGAGUCCUCAAAUAGUUGCUAGAGAGGCUAGGUAAGCGGCACUCACAUCCCGUCAACGAAGCUCUUUUCUAUGGAAUUGCUCUAGUGCGUCACUUAUAUCUUUUUGAGCACGGCGUACUUUAGUCUUCUCGAAGAAAUUCUCUCUUGCUUCACUUAAAUUAAUUUCAGAGAAAGAAAUAUUAUGCUCAUGAUCUUCACUUAUAAUUGUUUGAGCUUAUCAAAAGGAACAUAUGAAAAUUAGUUCGAAAGUGAUAGAUAUCCAAGAAGGAUAUAAUAAAAACUUUCAUGAAGAUCAUUGGACAAAAUAAACUUGAUUCCUUGUAAUAGUUUUGAGAUAUGAUGAUGUGAUAUGUGAUCAUGUCGAUGAGUAAUUGUGCUUUAGUAAGAAUAUUGGUGUUAAGGUUUGUGAUUCCCUAUGCAAGCACGAAAGUCAAUAGUUAUGCAAUGAAAUUAGAUCCUACUUGUGGUGCAUUAUUCGGUGUUAAUUAUGCUCAAUGCUCGCUUAUGGGAUUAUUCGUUUCUUGGUUGGUUGCUUCUCAAUCUUUUGCUAGCCUUCAUCUUGCACUAAGUAUGAUCACUACUUGUGCAUCCAAAAUCCUUUAAGCCAGUUUUGCCACAUGAGUCCACUAUAUCUACCUAUAUGCGGUAUUCUUUUGCCAUUCUAAGCAAAUUUUUAUGUGCCAUCUCUAAUUUUCAAAAUAAAAUUCUCUUUUGUGUGCUUGUACCGCUCGCAAGGCGUUGAGGGGUGGAUAAUAUUUUCCAUGCUAGAUGUGUUAUUCUCACGAUGAGUGUCUAUUCACUUGUCAUUGCACGAGAGUAAGUCAAAGGUAUUAGGGAUGCCCAGUCCCGAAAUCAAAAAUGAAUUUACUUUAUAUUGUCAAAUAAUAGAUUCCUUAGAAAGUGUUGGUAUGGAGGGCACCCGUGGAUACGGUUAGCCAUGGAAAGUGAAAGUAUGGUGGAAAAAGGAGUAAACUUUAAUUUCUGUUUGGGAACCGCCUAUGAUAUAUCUAGCAUGGUAAGUGUUGGGAGCUCUAAGUCAUUUUCGUUGGUGGGAAAAGUAUGCCACUCAAAAUGUUUUUCUCUCUCAAUUUUCGCUUUGAGCUCUGGCACCUCUACAAAUCCCUACUUCCUUCUGCGAAGGGCCUUUUUGUUACUUUAUGCAAAUUUUAAUUUGAGUCUCCAUCUUCUCUUAUAAAGCACUAUGAUCGUACUUGAGUAUUGGGUGUAGCUAAUAUGCGAGUGUGUUUCAUGAAUGGAUCAAUGAUUGAGUUUGAUGGGCUAGGGAUAACUUAUUUUAGCGUUGAUAUUUUGAAAGACAUGGUUGCUUGUUGACAUGCUUGAGUAUUUAAGUCUCAUGUCAAAACUAGACUUGCUUUGAACCAUAUAAAAGUCCAAAUGACCAUGCUAUAAAAAAAGAAUAUGACAUGACAUGUUAGGCAGCAUUCCACAUCAAAAAUUCUGUUUUUAUCAUUUACCUACUCGAGGACGAGCAGGAAUUAAGCUUGGGGAUGCUGAUAUGUCUCCAACGUAUCUAUAAUUUUUUAUUGUUCCAUGAUGUUAUAUUAUCGUUGUUGGAUGUUUUAUAAUCAUUUUAUAGUCAUUUUAUAUCAUUUUUUGGUACUAACCUAUUGACAUAGUGCCAAGUGCCAGUUGCUGUUUUUUGCAUGGUUUUUACAUCGCAGGAAAUCAUUAUCGAACGGAGUCCAAACACCACGAAACUUUUGGGAGAAUUUUUAUGGACCAAAACACCUAGGAUGGGCCAGAGCAGCACCUGGGGGGGUGGUGCCCCAAGGGGGGCACAACCCACCAGGGCGCGCCUGCCCCCCCAGGCACGCCCAUGUGGGUUGUGCCCACCUCGGUGGCCUCCCGCACCCCCUCUUUGCCCUAUAAAAUCCCAAAUAUUCCAAAACCCUUCGGGGUAGCCCUAGAUCAGAAGUUCCGCCGCCGCAAGGCCUCUGUAUCCACGAGAUCCAAUCUAGACCCCGUUCCGGCACCCUGCCGGAGGGGGGAAUCAUCUCCGGUGGCCAUCUUCAUCAUCCCGGCGGCCACCAUGAUGAGGAGGGAGUAGUCCACCCACGGGGCUGAGGGUUUGUACCGGCAGCUAUGUGUUUAAUCUCUCUCUCUCUCAUGUUGUUGAGAUGUCACGAUCUUGAUGUAUCGCGGGCUUUGUUAAUGUAGUUGGAUCAUGUGGUGUUUUCCCUUCUCUAUCUUGUUGUGAUGAAUUGAGUUUUCCCUUUGAGAUUUCGUUGUUGUCGGAUUGAAUACUUUUAUGGAUUUGAGAACACUUGAUAUAUGCAUUGCAAUUGAAUACUCGUGGUGACAAUGGGGUAUCGUAUUGAUUCACUUGAUAUAUGUUUUGGCACUCAACUCGCGGAUUCCCGAGGUGACAUUGGGGUAAUCUAUGCAUAGGGGUUGAUGCACGUUCUUGUCUUUGUUUCUUCGGUAGAAAUCUUGGGGCACUCUUUGAAGUUUUUUGUGUUGGAUUGAGUAUUAUGAAUAUGAAUUUGCUUUGGUGUUAUUUUAGUACGAACUCUAGGAUAGAUCGAACGGAAAGAAUAAAUUUGUGUUAUUUUAGUACGAUCUCUUGACUAGAUCGAACGGAAAGAAUAGCUUUGAGGUGGUUUCGUACCCUACAAAAAAUUUAUUCUUAUGUUCUCCGCUAGAUAGGAACUUUGGAGUGAUUCUUCAUCGCACUUUGAGGGGUGGUUAUAUGAUCCAAUUAUAUUAGCAUUGUUGAGAGGUUGCACUAGUGAAAGUACGGACCCUAGGCCUCAUUUUCAAGCAUUGCAAUACCAUUUUUGUGCCGUUUACUUUUUGCUACCUUGCUAUUUUUAUUUAUUCAGAUUAUAAAAAUAUAUUUCUACUAUCAAUUUUACACUUUUAUCACCAUCUCUUCGCCCAACUAGUGCACCUAUACAAUUUUCCAUUGUAUUGGGUGUGUUGGGGACACAAGAGAUUUCUUGUAUUUGGUUGCAGGGUUGUUUGAGAGAGACCAUCUUCAUCCUACGCCUCCCACGGCUUGAUAAACCUUAGGUCAUCCACUUGAGGGAAAAUUGCUACUGUCCUACAAAACUCUACGCUUGGAGGCCCAACACGAAUCUACAAGAAUAAAGUUGCAUAGUAGACAUCACUGGACCAAGAGGAACCACGGCGACCGGAGCGCGAACUGAAGAAGCCAUCACAGAACCUGCAGUAGUAUCUUCCACGCGUUCCGGAGCAGCGGCAACAGGUAACACAUGCGUUGCACCCACACACAGGAGGCUGCCCGCGCGAGGCAUGACUUAGUGGACAUAUGGUAGCAAACUUAUGAUAGCUCAGAUGUUUAAGUUCUUUAUUGUGGAACCAACCUGUAGGUUCAAGUCCUAGACAUGGCAUCGAUGCUCGCAUUUUCCUGGAUCUAUUUCAGACUUUCCGACGAUAUUCGUUUAUGGGGGGAAGAUGUUCCCAUCGACUACGAGUGUAUGCACAUGUAUGUGAGCAUCUGCGGUGAAAACUAAUUUAGUGGAAGGUGGGAAAUUGGUGUGCGGGAGAUGGUCCCUCGGGACGGAGUGUGGUGUUUUUAGUAGAACUGGCACUAAAGGCCCCGCGUCCUAUUUUUACGAAAUUGUUGGACAAAAUAUACCUAUUAAGUAGGAAAAGUUUCAUGAGAUGAGGCUAUUCGGAAGAUGUACCCAUUUGAGCAUUUUUAACAAACUAAAACGAGUGACAUGUUGGACGCAUGACUUUGUUUGGGUUUAUUUUUAGGCACACUCCAUUUGUCUAAUUAUUUGUUACUCCCUCGUUCCAGGUUCACUAGGUCCCUAUCUAAACCCACCAUAUUUUCCUUCGAUGAAAUGUUUUUUUAGACAUAUGACUCAAGAUGAGCCAGAUUUUGAAUUAACGAAGUCAUCAGCCGGGCAGGAUUAUAACCAACAAAAAUCUCAUCAAGAUGUGAAGGACAUGGGCAUGCAUGAUUAGAUGAUACACUCAUUGGCAAGAAGUUCUUUUUAGUAAAGACCCCCCACACAAUUUCCAUUAACAGAAAUCAUUAGAAGUUCUUACAACAAACGUAAUCAAAAACAAAAAAAAACA